CAAAAUGUAUGUUAAAAAAAAAAGAGUCAAAUCACUUCUCCCAAGGCCCAUACUUGUCCUACGCAAAAUCACACAUCCGCCCUCUCUUUCUAUGUUUUGAUGUAUGGCAGGGUCCCACCAAGAGUAGGAUCUUUAAUUCUUGGCCAUACACUUACAAACACCUCCUUGCUUCUUCAGUAACCCAAAUUGACUUGGUAACCACUCAGCGGCAAAAAUCAUGGCUCCAAGCAUCUAUCACAAAACUUGUACAUUAAUCAUGUCUUCUUUUGCAUACCCAUUCAGCAAAAUCCCAUGUAUUUUGAGAUUCUUAUAAUUUCAACUUCUUAAAUAAUAAUAAUUAUUAUUAUUGAGAUUGUACAAGUAAAAUUUCUCCGCCACAUGUUUGAAAUUCCAUGCUUUAACCUUACAAAACAAUUGUAAUGCAGAAAAGGGGUGAUUAAAAGAUUGAUUGAAGAUUAAAAAUAGUGACAUGUUUGUCAUUUAGUGGCUUUCCUUCCAUUUCCUCUCUCAUAUGCUAAAAUUCUGUCCAGUACUCAUUUCCAUGAAACUGCAUGUGAACAUUCUUUGUUUAUUAUAUAAAAAGCCUAUCUUUAAAUUUCUUCCCCCAUUCUUCUACAAGUAGGACUCCCAUAUUCAGGUUUUGACAGGCAAACUCAAAGAAAAAAUGUGCAGAGGUAUAGAGGAGAGAAGCCAAAACCCAGACAGAUUCUGCAGGAAACAGCAGCCGCAGCCGCAGCCGCAGCCGCAGGAGGAGGAGGCUGGUUCAGGCAAUGAAGCUUCAAGCUUGGUAUGUUGUGAACUAUGUGGGUCUCGAGCUUUCUUAUAUUGCCAAGCAGAUGAUGCGUUUCUUUGUAGAAAAUGUGAUCAAUGGGUACAUGGUGCUAAUUUCUUAGCUCUCAGACAUAUUAGAUGUUUUCUCUGCAACACUUGUCAAAAUCUUACACAAAGAUAUCUCAUCGGAGCUUCAAUGGAGAUAGUGCUUCCGACCAUUGUGAGUUUGAGAGAGAGAAGAAGGCAACAGUGUAAUAAUUCAAACAACGAUGAAAAACAGUUUUCUACAUCACCUAAAAUGCCUUUUCUCUUUCUUUAAUCUCUAGUUAGCAAGCUCGUCAUCUUGUUUUUUCUUGUUCUGGGUUCUUUGUUUUCCUUCCUUUUCUUUUCUUGUCAGUUUUCUAGGGCAAGUUCUGGUUCCUGGGAUAGUGAGAUUGUUCCUGGAAUUGGUUAAAUUAGUGGUUUAGAGUCUUUAUCAUGGAGUCCUGAUGUUUUCCUGAUGGAAUUGGAGAGAAAAUUCAAAUAUUUCUGGGGUUUUUGGAGAUGGGUUAUCAACUUAUCAUCCAUUUUCCUGAAUUCCAGGAGAAAAGAAACCUUGGAGAGGAUCCUGAGAAUGCAUACUUGUUGUUUGUAUACUCUGUGUGUUGUAUUAUAUUUGAUAUUUACCAAGAAAUUUCUGUUUUCCAUAUAAUUAAAACAGGUUUGUUUCAUAAUUUCAACGAAUAUGAAAAAAAAAAAAAAAAAAGAAAAGAAAAGGAGACAAAAUGGUCCAGUUGAUUUAUUGAUGAAUUCAGCUGCCUGCAGAGCCAGACAACUUUUGUUGGUGAGGCAGAGAAACCUCUUUUUUUUUUCAAUAAAACAAAUUAUCAACCACAAAUAUAAUUUAUUGAUGAUCUGUGUUCUUCAAAAAAUUUCACUUUAUGCUGAGCUUCUCCAGAAGACAGCAUCAAGCACAAUGUAUUUGUUAUUCUUUUAAUAAUUUCUGAAUUGUGGUGGUCAGGAAGAUCUUUUUCUCUUUGUUUUUUUAAAAUACAAAAUAGAAAAGAGUGAAUUAUAACUUUAUCUUUGAGUUUGGGGUUUUGCAAGGGAUUAAUUUACCAUCAAAUUUUUAAAUUUUUAGAAAAUUUAUUAAUUAGUUUUUUUUUAUCAAAAAAUUAUAGAAUUUAAUUUUAUAAAAUAUGAAAAUAUUUUAAUUAAGUAAUUUUAGUCCUGCAAACCAUGCAUAUCUCAAAUAUACUUUGUAACAGUUUUGCUAGUUAAAUUUCAGAUAAAUUUCUAUUUAGUUCAUAAAUUUCACAAGUAGUAAUAUUUUUCUAUCUAUUUUAGAACAAUAUAUUAGAAUUAUAUUCUUAUAUUUAUUGCUUCUGCAAAUAUAUUUUGCUCUUUUUUUAAAUAUUAAUAUCAAUUUUUUAUUUAAAAUUAAAAUAAUUUAAUUUUUUAAACUUAAAACAAUCAUUUUAAAAGCAACGAAAAUUAUAUGUAAUUUCAUUAUAAUUUAUUAAAUUCUUCUAAAGGAAAAAAAUAGUUUGCUUCCCAUUCUCAACCCACAGCCAAUAUGACCUGAGAGCAAUUCCUUUGUUCCAUGCCUGAAAAUUCAAAGCUGCUCUUCUUCGUUAUUUCAUUUUUAAUUAUUUUUAAUGUACAAGAAACAGUAAUAUAUUAAUAAAUUAAUUAUUAUAUUAAAAGAAAAAAGUGGUUUACAGUUUAAGAUUAAUUAUUAAGUAGUGUAUCAUAAUAUAAUAAAACUAAGGCAAGGACAAUUAUUAGGAUGUAUAUUAAAAUAUUAACAGGUGAUUGCAUAAUCUCAAUUAUAAAAUAAAAAACCAACAUAACAAUAAAAUAAAAUAAAAAUGAGAGGUCGUUGAGAUUUCAUGGGAUGUGGGCCCCAUAAUAACCAGAGAGAAUUCAAAUCACAAUUGAAAACAUUAAAUUCAAUUUGUGAGAAGGUUCCAACUUCAACAUCCACUUCAUUUUAAGUAAGCACCAACCAACACAAUAUUCUAAACAAUGCUAUUGCUACUAGUCACCAAAAACCACACUAUUAUUAGUAUUUACAUUACAUCAUCAGGAUUCUCCAGCGGGACACGCGUAGUGGGAGCCGUGUCGGCAUGAGCUAGAUCCCCACUUUGCUUCUCAACUCCCUGUUAUUAUUCUUAACCUUCAUUUUUAUUUCUUUUUUAUCUAUUUACUUACAAUUAAUUUUUAUUAAAAUUCAAACUCUAAACUCAUGUGAUAAUAGAAACUUUCGAUAUUGGUAACUUAUAAACAACAGACGACGCACAUUAAAAACAAAGUAUGGGUUAGCCAACUCAGUAUUUAUUAGUCAAUUGCCUAUCAUUAAUAAGUUGCCUAAAAAGCCUAUUAAAAAGCGUUCCUGUUCUAUUUGAUGGGACACGCCACCACAGAGGGAGUUAGUACAACCAGAUGUAUAUAUACCUUUGCCAAGCCCAAACAUGGUUCAUCUUUACUUCACUGAAAACCACCUCUUUGCACUCAUAAGAAAACCUGAACUUCUCCAAACAUAGCACCCAGCUCCAUUACUCUCAUUUACUACGAGCAUUUAGUUCCCUUUGGACCAAUCCCAGUCCAAUGACUUCUUCUAUUGAAUCAAACUGUUUGCCCAUAUGUCAAGAUUCUGCUAUCCCUUUGGAUCUCAACUUCAUCAAUUGGCACCGUCUGUAGGAACAAUGAAGAUUUUUCUAUCACCGGAGUUUUCAAACAAAACCUAUUGAGAUCCACAUGGAAAACUAGGAAAGUAACACACCAACCUCUAUUGGGAAUGAAAACCAAACCCCGAAAACUCCCAAUCCUUAGGGAUUUUCAAUGACCCUAUUUCCACACUCCACUACACUGAUGGUAUCCACCAUUCCCUCCAUGAAUAACCUCACACCGAUAAACACCAUCCCGCAAACUCCACUAUCCAACCAAGAUUUACAAAUCAUGUCGCUGCAGCUGCAGCAAACUAUGAUAUGGAUGAAUCAGAUCAUACAGCAAUGAGGCUUUGUGUAGCCUGUGAUUGCGAAUCCAACACCAAUGAUAAACUCCAGCCAAGCACCGACACCCACAUUUGUUCUUGGAGUUGAAAACCUUGAGCCAAUAACUAUCACACAAGGAGUCAGGAGAAGAAGAGACAAUGAAACAUCCAGGGAUCCACUGGCUAAGUCUAAAAGUCAUGUGGUGAGGAGUUUAAUAGAAGAAGAUGUUGAUGUAAAUAGGAGCGCAACGUUGGGAUGAUAUGAAAUAGAGAGUGAGGGAGAAGGAACUAGCUCCAAGUCCCCUGUUAGUGCAAAAAAGCUGAAGCAAGGGAGGAAGGAGUAGAAAAGAAGCUAGAAUGGUUGAAAAAAGAGCUGCUGGCUAAGCUAAAAAACCAAGCAGGAGUUCAAACCAGUUUGAGGAUGUCCUCAACCUUAGUAGCUCGUAUACAAGAAGAAGCCAUCCCAAAAAAUUCAUGAUGUCUACCAUGGCUGCAUAGAACGGUAUCGAGAAUUCCAGGGAACAUUUGAUCAACUACAAGACCUUCAUAGAACUGUAGACUCACUCUAAUUCCUUUCUCUGCAAGGUAUUCCCUACCACCUUAACCGGAGUAGUCCUGACAUAGUUCAAUAAGCCUGGACGCGAUAGUGAGGCUAAUGCGCCUGAACAUAAAGUAGGGCUAAUAAGCUCGAAAGCGAUAAUAAGGCCAAUGUGCCCGAACAUAAAUCAAGACUAAUAAGCCCAGAGCGAUAGUAAGUCCAUUAUGCUCAAAUAUAAAGCAAGGCCUAAGUGCCCAAAUGAAGAAAAGUCCCAAGUGCUCAGUCUAAAGUUCCAAAAUGAAGAAAAGGCCAAAAUGCCCAGGUCUAAGUGCCCAAACAAAGAAAAGGUCAAAGUGACCAAGCCAAAGUACCCAAGAAAAGAAAAGGCCAAAGUGCCCAAAUGAAGAAAAGGCCAAUGUGCCCAGACCUAAGAGUUCAAACGAGCAGCUAAAGAGCUUAGAAGACAACUCAGGGCUAAAGAGCUUGAAUGGCAGCAAUGACGAGCUAAAGAGCUUGGAAGAUAACUCAGGCUAAAGAGCUUGGAAGACAGCUUAGGGCUAAAGAGCUCGAAAGGCAGCAAUGACGAGCUAAAAAUCUUAGAAGAUGACUCGGGGCUAAUGAGUUCAGAAGGCAAAAAUUACAAGCUAAAGAGCCUAGAAGGCAAUGAUGACGAGCUAAAGAGCUAGGAAGAUGACUCAGGGCUAAAUAGCUCAGAAGGUAGCAAUUACGAGCUAAAGAGCUUGGAAGGCAACGAUGACGAGCUAAAGAGCUUAAAAGAUGACUCAGGACUAAAGAGCCCAGAAGGCAACGGAGAGCCAAAAACUUGAAAGAUGACUCAAGGCCAAAAUCCCCUUAGAAUUUAAAAAGCCUAAAAAACUACAUAAUCAAAAAAUGAUUAAAAAAUUACAAACUAAGAGAAAAGAAAUCUUGACAAACCAAUGGGCACCGGGAAAAAGCUGAAAAAUGAGUAAAUCAAAUUAAUAGCUCGAAAACAAAGGCAAAUAAUUCAAGUCUUUAAAAAUAUCAUGACUUUUUAAAUUAAUCACCAAACGCAUUAGCCAAGAUGAAGGAGCCUGUAUAACAGCUCAAGAAAAGAAGUGUAUGUCCCUAUAGUUUCAACUAGAAUUACCUUAUAUUUUCUUAUUUCAACUAGAAUUUAUUUUAUUUUUCUAUUUUAAUUACGAUUAAGAGAAUUUUUUGCUGUAAUAACAUUUAUUUUGUACAUAAAGAGGAAGUUGAUAUUUCUUUAUAAUGAGACUUUUUUAUUAGUUGAACUCAUGCUCUUCUUUUAUUCAAUGCAAAGAUAAAUUAACUUUUUGUGAUACUUAGUAACUUAUCAAAAUUUAGCCUUGUGACAUUUUAAUCUGAAUUUUAUCACUCCAUAAAAUCAUUUCUAGUCAUAUUGGUUAAUUAGGGAUGUGUUAGAGCAAUCUUGGAAGACAUGUUUAACUUGUUUCAUCCAUAAAAUCAUUUCUAGUCAUAUUGAUUAUAUUACAUAACCGUUCAAUGCUAUACUUUACAUUACAUUAUUCUCAUGUCCACUUCUAACUAUUACAUAAAUAUGACUUUACUCUAGCUGACCUCCUGGUCUAUCUCGUACCUGCAAACCUGGGGGAUUAAGGGAGUGGGGUGAGCUACUAGAGCCCAGUGAGCAGAAUAAUAAAACAUUAUAUUUAAAACAUAUGAUAUCGUAGAAUGCAUCACAGCAUAAACAAAUCACAUCAAGGAUGAACUUGUCACCAUUUAGCCCUCUAUACAGUCUAAUCAUGCUAGGGGCAUAGUGCAGGCACGCCUGGACUUCCAUAUUAUAUCAUACAUAUCCAAUCGUGCCGGGGGCGUAGUACAGGCCACACCCGGACUUUCUCUUACAUAGUGCCAGGGGCGUAGAGCAUGCACGCCUGGACUUCCAUAUCCUAUCGUCAUGUCAUAACAUAUGAGGGCUAAUGGAUCAUUCAACAUUCAUCCGCAUCAACAACAUAAUAUGCAAUGCAACAUAUUCGUGAAUUCUAAUGCAAGCACCCUAAUAUAUCUCAUGGCAUUCGUGAUGCGUGAAUCAUGCUAAAACUUUUAUUAUUUGUUUGAACAUAGAGAGUUAUUCCACUCACCUCUGGCUAGCUCUGACUAGACACUGAAGCAGCUGUCUCACUGCUGGGGUCCUCGGUUCCUCGGGUCCGAACCUACACAGGUGGACUCAAAUGAGGGACCAAACAUACAUGAACAUGACUAUAAAAUACUCCCCCAAAAACCCCCUAAAACACCUUAAAACAAUCACAUAAAUCAUGCAAAGGAAGGCUGAACAGGGCACUUUCGGCAGCAGGUUCGGCGGCCGAAAGUCCCUCCAGAGCCGAAAGUCAUGCACCUUCGGCGGCACUUUCGGCGGCCGAAGGUUCUCUCCAGAGACGAAACUCAUGCAUGUUCGGCGGCACCUUCGACGGCCGAAUCUCCCUUCCAGAGUCGAAAGUCUACUUUCGGGGGCAGGGUUUGGCAGCCAAAGGCUGGCCUCCACAGGCAGGUUCGGCGGCCGAAAGUCCCUUCGGCUGCCGAACCUGAGUUCUUCCAAAGGGCAGAACUCAGCCUUCAACAUGCACAAAAGCCUCCCAACCCAUUCAAUCAUGCAUUUACAUAUUCUACAACAAGCAAACUCAAGCCAGCAAGCAUAUAGGGGUCUCAAACUAUCCUAAACCCCAACUACAACACAUCAAACAUACAUAAACAACCCACAUUGCUAAAAAACUCAACAUUAACCUAUAAACUCAAAAAUAACCUAAACAUGCAUUUCUACUCCGCAAAUCUUCAUAAAAAUUACUUAAAACAUACAAGAAUGGUAGGAUCGAAGCUUACAUCUUGAAGAUCUAGAGGAGAAACGAUCCUAGCUUGGAGAUGGGGGAGAUCUCGCUCCUUUGGUCUCCAAGCUCCAAAACUUGCUCUUUUUUGCUCAAAUAUCUUCAAACCAAGAUAAAACUUGUUAAAACUUAAGGGAUUUGACGAAAAUCAUAAAAAACAACCAUGGGAGAGCAUGGACUCACCAUUGGCCGAAAAUGGGGAGAAAACUCGCCCGUUUCGGCCAUGGAGCCCUUAUAUAGGGCUGACCAGACCAUCUUUCGGCAGCCUAAAGUGCCUCCAAAACUCAUGCAAGUUCGGCGGCCGAACAUAAGGUUCGGCGGCCGAACCUGAAUCACUUUCGGAAGCCUAACUUGCCCCCCUAAACUAUCCCAUGUUCGGCGGCCGAACUUGAGGUUCGGCGGCCGAACCUGGAAAUGCCUCCUUAGUCUUUUUCAUUAAAAACUUAAUUUCCUUCUUGCUUAAAAACAUAAAAUACAUUAAAACAUUUUAUGAAAACAUGAUUUCACCCUUCUAGAGGUUUCCGACAUCCGAGGUUCCACCGGACGGUAGGAAUUCCGAUACCGGAGUCUAGCCGAGUAUUACAUCCAUGUUUAGUAAUUUAUCAAAGGUUCAAUCUUGUGACAUUCUAAUCUAGACGCUAUCGCUCCAUAAUUUUCAUUUCUAAUCAUAUUGGUCAAUUAGCUCUAUGGUAGAGCAACUUUUAGAAGAUAUAUUUAGCAUUUUGUGAAUCAAAUUGUGUGAUAGAAUUUUUUAUUAUAAGUUGAUCCUAAAUUCAGUGUCAAUCAUGACUAAGUUAUCCAAGAUUGUUUUAAAUAUCUUCAUUAACAUCAACAUUGGUAGGUAUUUGGCUACUUUCCUCCUAGUUGACAAUGAUUGUUAAGGUAUUUAUAGUUUUCAAUGGGUUGAGAUUCACUUCUCCUCUAUGAGUGCUUGUCCUCCUUUUAGUUCUUUCCACUAUCUAUGGAACUUAAAUAUAAAAACUAGUUGGAAGGAACUUCCAUUUGUAUAAGAGAUUAGACGAUGUUUUUGCCUAGAGUACUUUUUAUCAUUGAUACUUGCAAACCUAAAACUCAAAAAAUAAUAGUGCUAAAAGAUUAUUUUCUAGUCUUUGGUAAAGAAAAAUGGUGUAAAAAAUUAUUUCAACACAGUAGAACCUAGGUCCUAUUAGGUGUGCUAAAGAAUCACUUUAAAAACAAUAAAAAACUGGCUAACCACUUGAGUGUGUAAUUUUAAAUAUUGAGUAUAUCAACUAAAUAUGCUCUUAACUUCAAAAAUAACCGUGACAACUAAAUUAAUUGAUGAUCAUUACAAAAAAGUGCUCAUUAACGAGAAAAAAAAUUCAUUGUUAAAUAUUAAAAAUCGAUCGUUUAAAAUCAUUAAUGACUUUUUUAUUCGAUCGUUAAGUCGUUAUUAGAAAUUCUCUCGUUAAACGUUUAUAACGAGACUAUUGUACACUAGUCAUUGAUACUAAUUAUGAUGGCACAAUAAUUUAAAAAUAUAAUAAUAAUGAUGAAUUUAUCUUUUGAUCGUUAAAUUUAAAUUAAAAAAUCAUUUUAUAAUAUAAUAGUUUUGAAAUAAUGAUAAUAAUAGAAAAUAAUUAAAUAUUUAUAAUAAUAAUAAAGUAUACAAUAUUCCUGAGGUACCUAUAAGGAUCAGAUCCACGAACUACAAUAUUUGGUUACUCCUUAAAUGUGGUUAUGAUUAGAUAAUUGCCUAAGCUUAGUCACCUUUUUUAACUAACAACUUGCUUUAUCAAGACUUAACCACAAAAAUAAUUACAUGGAUAACCUUUAGGUUAUAUAUUAUUCAUAUCAUCGAUCUCUUUAACGUAGUCCUAGUAUUAUUAAGAAUAAUAGUUAAAAGUGAGGAUGAAGGUUAUAAAGAAAUAUCAAUUUUUAAGUUUUUGAUUUUUUUUAAUGCUGUUGUAUUUUUACUAUUUGCUAUUGUUGCUUUAUUGGAAAGUAAUGAUGAUAUUAAUUUGCCUCUAGCUUUUGUAUCGAUUGUGUAAUAUAUAUUAGAUAUAUUAUUUUGAUAAUUAUGAAGUCGCUAAAAAAAUCUAAAUAGUUUCAUACAUGGAUUGAAGAGAUGAAGAAGUGAAAUGUUAAUGGGUGUUUUGAUAUUCAUAAAGAGAUAUUAGAGAUUUAAACUUCUUGUAAUCUCACUUUUUUAAUUUUUUUUGUUUAAACUAAUAAAAGAUGAAAAUAAGUCCAACUAAAUUUUUAUACUUUUACUUAAAUGCCAAAUGAGUCUAAUUUAAAAAUUUUAGCUCAAUUAAGCCCCUAUAUUUUUAUUAAGGAUCACAUAAGUUCUAAUAUAAUAUAAUAUUAUUUUUUAUAAUUUAAAAUAUCAAAAUUUAAUAUUUUAAUUAACAUAAAAUUUUCAAAAAUAUAUUGAUAUAAUAAAUAAUUUUAAAAUUAAAAAAAUAAGUUUUAUUAUAUAAAAAAAUUAUUAUUAAAAAAUAAUAUUAUAUUAUAGGAGAGUUUAUUUGGCCCUUGCAUAAUAAUAAGGACCUUAAUUGGUCUAAAUAUUUAAAUUUGAUUUAUUUAACUCUUGAGUAAAAGUAAAUGGGCUUAAUUGAACUUAUAUUCGAAAAAAAUAUUCCCUCUCCCUUAUUAUUUUAAAUUUUCUUGAACUUGUGCAUUGCACACUCAAGUAAUUUGUCAAAAUAGGUUAAUAUGGGCUAAAAUCAAAAUUUUUGAUUUAAAUAGGGCAAAAAGUUAAUUUUGGACAAAAAUUAAUCCUUGACCAAAAUUUCAAGAGCAAAAGUGGGUUUUUUUAUGCCAAAUUAAUUUAAAAAAAUUUAUUAUUUAAUCCCUAAAUAUUUUUAUUAUUAACAAGUUAAUCUCUCGAUUUUAAAAAAUCUAUUAAAACAUUCUUAUUUUUAUCUUUGUCAACGAAAUAAUCUUUUUGUCUAUUUUUACGGUUAAAAAUAUAAAAAAAAACUAAAUUACCCCCUCCUCCUCCUCAAAACAAAAAAGAAGAAGGAGGAGGAGAAGUGGAGGAACUAUUUCAUUGAUAGGGAGAAAAUAUAAGGAUAUUUUAAUAGAUUUAAAAAAAAAAUAAGAACAUUUUAAUAAAUUUUUAAAAAUGUAAAGACUGACUUGUUAAUAAUAACAAAACCCAUAGACUAAAUAAAGAGUUUUAUUUGAUGGUAAAAUUAGAUUUUAAAAUUUUUCUCCUUUAUUCUUAAUCUAUUUUUAACAAAAAAAAGACAAAAUGACUAUUUUAUUGAUGAACAGAAAAGAUAAGAACGUUUUAAUAAGUUUUUGAAAAUGUAAAAAUUGACUUGUUAAUAAUGACAAUACAUAAUGACUAAAUAGUAAAUCUCUCAUUAAUUUUAUUAGUUAAAAGUCUAAAAUAAUUAAUUAGAUAAAAUAAAAAUUAUUUUGGUGUAACCAAAUUAUAUAUAUAUAUAUGGUUUAUAAAUGAAUUUAUUGAAAAUAUUCUCUAUAACCAAUUUGCUGUUUAUCUUUUAUUUUUAUGUUUUUUUUUGAAAUGAAACUUUUAUUUUUAUGCUAUAAUCUAUUUAUUGUAGUUUAUCAUGAAAACCAUAUAUAUCUAAUUAUGUAAUAGCAGUUAUCUCCUCUUGAAACAAUUUUAGUUAUAUUAUAAUUUAUCUUUAUAUAUCAAUACAAUAAAAAAUAAUACAUCUCUAUAAGGUGUUAAACCUAUAGAUAUUACACCUUAAAAUUUUUUCAAUUCUCAGUUGUAAAAAUAAAAAGCAAUAGUUUUGAGUUUCUUAAGAAAAAGUUUAGAGAAUUUUCCAUUUUUUUUUCUGUGCAUAGGCCUAAUAAUUUAUAGAUACUAUGGGUCUAGCCCACAAAGCCCAUAUAAACAAAGCCCAAAAUUUAUAUGAGCAAUAUUUUCUGAUAAUAUUUACAUAUUGAAAAAAUAAAUUUCUUUUCCAUAAAAAAAGAAAAAAAAUAUUUUUUUUAAAAAAAAUAAAUUUUUAUAUCAACCAAAUAUUAUAAUUACACAUUCACUCUCCUUUGAGAUUCUUUUUCAAAUUAUCAAAUGUUCCCUAACGGAAUAUAGAUUUAAUUAAUCCAAUAUACUAAUUUUCAAUGUGUAAUUGGUUUCAUUUGUAAAUAUAAAUAUUUUUAAAAUAAAAUUUAUAAAUAUAAAUAAUCAUUUUGAUGGAUAAGUUGCCUUUAUUUAAUAGAAAAAAUCACUUUUCAUUUUCUUCUGAAUCUAAAAAUUGAAAUGAAAUAACUGAGUUCUCAUAAUCUAUACCGAUGACUUUUGAGUUCACAUCAUCCCAGUCUAAGGUCAGGCCUAAGAAAAUAGCCCAUUACUUAGAGAUUCUCAAGCCACUCACGCCAAUCGGGUCUAGUCUGCUCAGCCUCACCACCGGGCUUCAUCUGGCUUUCUCCACCAGGCCGGCCUCGUCUUCACUGCACCUUGGGCCGAUCCCAUUUGGGUCCAGCUUUGUUCCUAUCCUCCGGCCCAACUCGGAACCCGAAGAAGGAUCCAUCCACCCGCCUCGUAGACCCGCCUACACGCGCACAGGGAGAAUCAGAGGCCGUUGCGCAUGGGGCAGAGAUCUGAUUCCUUCGUACGUCCGUAUCAGCGUAGCAGGGACAGGUGGUCUAAUGAUACUCGUUUUGCCCUAAUGAUACUCGUUUUGUUGGCACGUCACUAGCAGACAAAAGGGGACAUAUAAAAGGGGAAAUACUCCUUUCUAUGUUCAAACUUUUUCUAAAUUUUACAGAGCCCAUUGUAAAAACCCUAUUUUCUGAAUCUUAGAUCAUCAUAUACUAUAUAUAAAAGUGGGAAGAGCGGAAUAAUGGAAUUGCCAAUUUUACCACUAUAUUAUUUAACUAUUUACAAUUCACUUUAAAUUUUAAAAUAAAUAAUUAUUUUAUUAUUUAAAUAAUUUUUUAAAAUAAUUUUAAAUAUUUAUCAUUUAAAAUUAAUGCAUGUUUAAAUUUUUAUUUAUGAGUUUAAUUAAUUUUAUUUGAUAAUUGUGUAGAAUAAUUAUUAAAAAUUAAUAAUUUUGAUAAUAUUUAAAUUAAUUUUUUUGAGAAGAUUAUUAAAAUAAUAAGCUUAAAUAUUAAUUAAAAAUAUUAAAAUAAUUAUGUAUUAUUAGAUUUACAUUUAAAUAUUAAAUAAUUAUGAAAAAUAAUAUAAAACAUGAAUUUUAUUAAUAUUAAAUUAUUCGAUAAUAAAUGGCUCUUCUAAUUAUUAAUAAUUAUAUAAAAAUUAUAAUUGAAUAUUAAUUAAUUAUAGAAAAGAAUAUAAAAAUAAUAGUUUAGAUAAUAUAAAAUUAUUAGAUAAUGUGUUGAUCCUUUAGUUAUAAUAAUUAUAUUUUAUUUUUAAAGUAAAAAUAUUUUUUAUUAUCAAAAUUAAUUUAAAAUUGAUAAAUAAAUAUGUAAAUUUUAGAAUAUUAAAAAAAUUAAAUUGAUAUUAGAAAUUAUAGGAUAAUAUAACUCGGAUAAUGACAAAGAAAUUUUUAAGUAAAAAUAUUAAAAUAUUAAAAUAAUUAUAAUAAUAUUAAAUUAUUAGAUAAUAAAUCUAAAUUUAUAAAACUAAAAUUAUAAAAUAAUAAUUAAAUUGAUUAUAAUAAUUUUAAGAAUUAAUUAUUAACUAUAUAUAAAAAAAAUCAACCAUUUUAAUAUAAUCUAAAAACUUCUUUACAUAAUUAUAAAAGUUUAAUCAUUUUAGUUAUAUAAAAUUAUCAUAUAAUUUUGAUAUAAAAUUAUUAAAACAAUUCUAAAAAAUAAUAUAGAUUAUAGUUUUAAAAAUCAACUUAAUUUUAAAUGUUAACUAUUUUAAUAUUUUUUAAAAAUUAAUUAUAUGCAUAUAUUGAUAAUUAUAAAAUAUUAAUAAAUUUAGCAAUAUGAUGUUAUAAGAUAAUAAAUUAUUAUUUAUAUUAUUAACUAUUAUAUUGAAAAUUUAAAUUGAAUAAUAAUUUUAUUAUCUAAAUUAAUUUAAAGUUAAUAAAUAAUUAUUUUAAUUUUAAAACAUACAUAAAUAGUAAAAUAAAUAUUUUAAAAUAAAAUUUUUAAAAUAAAAUUUAAUUUUAAUAAUAUUAAAUUAAUAUAUAAAUAUUUUAUUUUAAAACAUUAAUUAUGCACUUUCGCUCUUUUAAUUUACUUUUGCCUUUCUUUCUCUUGCACCCCAAAGAAAGCCUAGAAAGCCUAGUGGGUUUCGUGUGUUCUUUUUCCCUAUAGCCGUUCUCGUCUCCCUCCCCAGUUGCAGCCCAGCGAACUAGCUCCCUGGGAAUUUGUCUUCGAUCCUUCGCACUGCGCAACACUCUCCACUGUGAUUCCGUAGUUUCAUUGCUUCAUUCCGUCGGUUAUUACCGCCGGAAACUUCACGCCUCCCUCGGUACGCCUCUUUUUGUCUAUCUCUGUUUAGUCUGUGAUUUCUUUUUUAAUCUCUGUCUUUAUAUUACCUGGAAAGUGGGUUCCUUUCCUUUUAGCUUAUGAAUGCUAGUUUUGAUGAUAAGCAACGGUUCGUGAAAUAAAGUUUGGAAUUUUAAAGUGAACUAGCUGUUACUGAAGAGAAAGAGGAAAGGCGAAAAGUUCUUUUGUAAUUGCAUAUGUGACCGUGGCAUGGAUUUGCAUCUGUUUGUACAUGAAUUUUGCAAUUGUUUUUAAUUUUUUUUUUUGUAUUGAUUUCCGAGUAUUAGCCUGGUUCUUCAUGAAAAACUUGAGCGUUUCAUGACUGUCGGCCUUUUUGAGUUGUCUGUUAGAAAGAGUGAAUAUAAAUGCAGACUUAGUGUCUGUUAGAGCUGAAUAGCGACAAAGGAUCCAUUGCGAACCCCAGAUAGUUUGGAAUUAAGGUUCAGUUGUUGAUGUUGUUGUUGUGUCUGUUAGAAAUAGUUAGUUUUGGUCUUGUGGAAUUAGAGUUGGCUGCCCAUUCUGUUAUGGUCCUUUGUUAUAAUUAUACAGCUAGGCGUGAAUACUAAGCAUUCUGUUGCAGUUAGAUUGAAGUCAGAAACCUCUUUAAUUUCGAACAGAUACAAUAUGAAUUUAAUGAGAAGACCCUUUUUUCUUGAUGUUUAGAAAAUAGAUAAAAUUGUAAAAUCUAAGGUCAAGUUGAGAAGAAAUGAAGAAUUUCUCAUUAAUGAUCAAAUGAUGAUUACAAUUGUACAACCCAUUGAUCUAAGCUCCUACUUCUACUAUUUAUACAACUCUUAACUAAUCUGGAAUCUUCCAUUCUAACUAACUAUUAAAACUGAAUUGGCGCUAAAUUUGGCUUAUAAAUUAAGAAGCUGCUAAGUAACUUGAGAGAAAUUAGUUGUAACUCCUUUGGAGAGAAGUCCACUUGAGAGAAGUAUGUUACAACUGUAAAAUAACAGCAAAUAAGCUCUAGAAGUUACUGGAAGCUACUGGAAGCUGCUGGAAGCUGCUGUUGCUGUUGUUGCCACAUUGCUGAAGUUACUGCAGUUUAUAUGUUAACGGCCCCCCCAAGCUUGGGAUGGGAAAACAUGAAACAUUCCUAGCUUGGAAACAAGAAAUUUGAAUGCAGCAGAAGGAAGAACCUUAGUAAACAUAUCUGCUAUCUGAAAUUUUGAUGGGACAUGAGAAGUAGUAAUGAAUCAAGCUUUUAAUUUCUCUCUAACAAUAUGGCAGUCAAUAUCCAAGUGUUUUGUUCUCUCAUGAAACACUGGAUUUGCUGCAAUAUGCAUAGCAGCAAGAUUAUCACAUUUCAAAGGAAUUGGCAAAUGUAAAGGGACUUGUAGAUCCUGUAAAACAUAACUAAUCCACUGAAGUUCACAAAUUGUGGUUGCCAUUGAUCUGUAUUCUGUUUCAGCAGAUGAUCUGCUAACAGUUGCUUGUUUCUUAGUUUUCCAAGAAACUAAAGAAUCUCCAAGAAACACACAAUAGCCUGUAACCGACUUCCGGGUUAUGGUGCAUGUGGCCCAAUCUGCAUCACAAUAUGCAGUUAACUGUAAACUUGACUCAAUAGGAUAAUAAAGACCAUGCGACAGUGUCCCUUUGAGGUACUUUAGUAAAUGUAGUGCUGACUUCAAAUGAUCAGAACAAGGGCUCUGCAUAAAUUGUGUAAGCUGUUGAACACCUUGAGCUAUAUUAGGCCUUGUUAAGCUCAAAUAAAUCAACCUUCCAACUAGUCUUCUAUACAUUUCUGGAUUAUCAAUUGGAGCCCCCAUUUCAGGAACAAGUUUCAAGCCUUGUAUUAAAGGUGUAUAAACAGCUUUGCAAUCUAACAUAUCAGCCUCAGAAAGCAUAUCAAUAAUGAAUUUUUUCUGGGAGAUAAACAUGCCAUGCUGCGAUCUUGCAAUUUCAAUCCCAAGAAAAAACUUUGCUAAACCAAGAUCUUUUAUAGUAAAAGUUUUGUCUAGAAACUGUUUGACAUCAUCAAUUAAAUGCUCAUUUGGUCCGGUCAACAAUAUAUCAUCAAUAUAGUAGCAGUAAACAUUUUGUUCCAUUGCCUGCCUGCUUGUUUCAGGCCAUAAAGGGACUUAUUAAGCUUACAAUACUGACCCGGAAAAGCUUUAGCAUAACCCUCCGGUGGCACCAUAUAUAUUUCUUCAUCAAGCUCACUAUGAAGAUAAGCAUUGUUUACAUCAAGUUGAUGUAAAUGCCGGUUUAAGCUUGUACAAACAGCAAAUAAUAGUCUGACAGUUACUAACUUUGCCACUGGAGAAUAAGUUUUUGUGUAAUCAAGUCCCAAGUCCCAACAGCUGUGUAAAUCCUUUGGCCACUAACCUGGCUUUGAACUUAUCAAUUGAUCCAUCUGGCUUGUACUUAAUUCUGUAUACCCAUUUGCUACCAAUAGGUUUCUUGUUUUUAGGUAAGGCAGACAUUGUCCAAGUUUUAUUUUUCUCCAGGGCGUCAAGUUCCAGGUGCAUGGCAUUGAUCCAAUUAAUUUCUUUUGCAGCUUGUUUGUAAGAACAAGGUUCCUGGAAUUGAGACACUUGUGCCCGGAAAGCAUUAUAAGAAGUGGAAAAAAUAAUAUGGGGAGGAUAAGUGUUAGCAGAAUUUGCAGCAGCAUUGCUGUUGGAUGUAUUGGAAGGAACAAUGAAAUCAGUUAACCAUUUUAGUGUUUGUUUUACUCUUGUGCUUCUCCUAACUAGUUGGGAUAGUGAAGACUCAGGCAUAGUAAUUUCUAUAGACAAAGGUUCUAACUCAAUAUUUGGUUCAACAGGAGUUGAGUUAUGUAUUGGUGAUGACAAAGCCAUGGAUGGGGUUGGAGAAGACAAGGAUAUAUCAGAGAUGUUUGCAUUGGGAAUUUGAUCUACAAGAGGAUUGACAGAAGGUUCAAUAGGAAUAGAGGAAGAAUGUAUAGCCAUGUCAUCUGCUAUACAUUCAGGCAAACAAAAGUCUGUAAUAGAUGAAGGGUUAGUGAGAUGAAAGGGAAAUAUAUUUUCAUGAAAUCUAACAUCUCUGGAAAUGUAAAUUCGUUUGGUAUGAAGAUUAUAUAGUUUGUAUCCUUUCUGUUGUGGACCAUAGCCCAAUAAGACACUUGGUAGACCUCUGACAGAAAAUUUUGUUUUGCUUGGAGACAGAUUUGUGGCAAAACAUAAACUUCCUACAACUCUCAGAUAAUCAAGUUUGGGUUUAUGACCAUGAAGUAACUCAUAUGGACUUUGCCAUUUUAAAAUUUCCGAUGGUAGUCUAUUAAUCAAAUGUGUGGCAGUUAAAAGAGUUUCUUACAAAAAAUGUGAAGGAAACUUGGAUUGAAACAUUAAGGACCUUGCCACUUGUAGUAAAUGCUUAUGUUUCCUUUCAACAACUCCAUUUUGCUGUGGAGUAUAUACGCAUGUCCUUUGGUGUGUAAUUCCUUUAGAACUAAACAAAGAAAAACAAUCAUUGUUUAAGAAUUCAGAACCAUUAUCUGUUCUGACAGCUUUAACAUGAGUUUUAAACUGAUUUUCUAUAUGAGCAAGGAAAUGGGUUAACACAGAAGGUACUUGAGUUUUGGAAUUUAACAUAUAGGUCCAAGUGAACCUAGAAUGAUCAUCAACAAUGGUGAACAUAUAAUAUGCACUUGUCACAUAUUUAAUUCUAUAUGGUCCCCAUAGAUCCAUAUGUAACAAUUCAAAGAUAGUGAGAGAAUGCUCAAUGUUGGAGGGAAACACAAGCCUUUCUUGUUUAGCCAUUGGGCAAACAGUACAAGUAAGUAUAUCACUGCUAAUGACGGGUACAACAGAUAAAUGCCUCAUUUUAUUGGUAGAAGGAUGUCCUAAUUUGCUAUGCCAAAGCUGAAACAAGUGAGGUUCAUGUGCCGUACAAGCAUUAUUUACUUUUGUAAUGGAAAAUGACUGUUUGUUGAUAUGAUAUAACCUACCAACAACUAAUCCAACAGCAAUUUCUUCUUUACUUUGCAAAUCCUGCAACACACAGUGGUCAGGAUAUUGAGUAACAAAGAUUUUACAAGUAAGGGCAAGGUAAUUCACAGACAAAAGAUUGCAAUGAAAAUCUGUGAUGUAAAGUGUAUUGAACAAGGUAAUUCUGGGUGCAAGUUGAAUGGUUCCAGUGUGGGUAACAAGUUUCGUUCUUCCAUCUGGUAGUCUAACAUGUCUAGGUGUUUUUAGCUUGGAAAUGGAAUCAAAAAGGGUAAGGUCACCAGACAUAUGGUCUGUAGCACCUGAGUCAACAAUCCAGGUUCCUUUAUCCAUACAUUCAAAAUUGCUAGAGCAAUUAAUAGAAACAAUACCUGCAAAGCUUGAAGCAUGAUGUGCAGUGGCGACCUCCUCAACACUUGACUGGGUAGAUUUCCUUUUAAGAGCCUUUGAUAUCUCAAAUUGCACUAUUUUGGAGACAUUAUCUGUCAUAUUGUUAGUGACAGUGUGAGAAGCAUUAGUAGUUUCAAUAUCCAAAGGAGAUUCAGCUAUGGUAUUAAAGGCCACUGUAUUAUUGGAUUUUGCUCCAUAUUUCUGCUUCUUGAAGUCAGAAAACCAUUCUGGAUAGCCAUGGAGUUUAAAGCAUUUCUCCUUUAGAAUUAAACUUACUGUCACCUGAAGAUUGCCUUCUAGAGUUGUUGAAUCUCUGAGCAGCCAUGACAGUUGUGAUAUCAGAAGAUUCAGGAAAUGUUACUUGAAUUUCUUUCUGCUUUUCUACAUUCUAUACCAUUCCAUAUGCCUUACUUGCAGAAGGUAAUGGAUCAAGCAACAAAAUCUGAUUAGACACAUGCUCAUAUUGAUGAUUCAGGCCCAUGAGAAACUGUAUCAAUCUCUCCCUUUCUUCAAAAGCAGUUAAUUCCUUAGCUGCAUCGCAAGCACAUGGUGGCAAGGGACAAAGUACCGACAAUUCGUCCCAACAUCUUUUCAAUUUGUUAUAAUAAGCAGCAAGAGUCAUAGAUCCUUGGCUUAUAUUAGCCAAUUCUUUCUUGAUUUGGAAAAACAAAGGACCAUUACUUUCCCCAAAUCUCUUGCAAUGUCAUUCCAUAGAUCAUGAGCAGAUGGUGCAUAUAGAAAUCCAUCUGAUAGAUCUCUAGAAAUUGAGUUUAAAAUCCAUGAAAUGAUCAUAGAAUCUACUGUUAUCCAUUUCUUAUAUUCAGGAGCAUCAGAAUUAGGUUUAGAUAUUUUGCCAAUAACAAAUCCAAGCUUAUCUUUGGCUCGUAAAGCAAUUGUCAUGGAUCUUGUCCAAAACAAGUAAUUUGGGCCAAUGAGAAGAUUACUAACCAGUUUUAUGCCAGGAUUAUCUGAAUUUGAUAGUGUUAAUGCUGAUUCAAGCUCUGGAUCAAGCGUUACGUUUGCAGCAGUAGGGUUUGUAGCAUUUGCCAUCGUAUAUAAUCAGCAAAGAUCACAAAGAAAGCUAUCUCAGACACAAUUCACAAGAAUCAAGAAUGAUCACAAAGAGCAAAAAAAAAAAAAAUAUGAAGAAGAAACAGAGAUUCAGAGCAGAAGCUUAGAUAGCUUGCUCUGAUACCAUGAGAAGAAAUGAAGAAUUUCUCAUUAAUGGUCAAAUGAUGAUUACAAUUGUACAACCCAUUGAUCUAAGCUCCUACUUCUACUAUUUAUACAACUCUUAACUAAUCUGGAAUCUUCCAUUCUAACUAACUAUUAAAACUUAAUUGGUGCUAAGUAACUUGAGAGAAAUUAGUUGUAACUCCUUUGGAGAGAAGUCCACUUGAGAGAAGUAUGUUACAACUGUAAAAUAACAGCAAAUAAGCUCUAGAAGUUGCUGGAAGCUACUGGAAGCUGCUGCUGUUGCUGUUGUUGCCACAUUGCUGAAGUUACUGCAGUUUAUAUGUUAACACAAGUAGUAAAAAAAUUCAGUCCAUAAUAAAAAUUAUGUUUAUGAGGUGCUUCACUAUUUGUCUAGCUUGCUUUACUAUCUCAGGAUUAGUAGCUUCAAUGCAUUUAUGAAAUAUAAUAUUUAAAUACAUUCUUAGAUCAGUAGCUGGGAACUGAAGAAUGAUAGCAGCAGUAUCAUGGGUGCCCAAAGGGGUUGCAAAGACUGUCCCAGCAGUGGCAGACCCACCAUCCAAGGAGGAAAUUGAAGAGAUGAUAAAGGCUGGUGCUUUGGAGAGAAGGUAACUAAUUCAUCCAUUUUGUAUAGUUUUAUUGGUUGUUCUACUUGUAACAAUUAACAAAUCACAUUACUGGUUGUUUGUAUUUUUCAUUUGUUUUACUUUUUCUUUUAAUUAUUAUGUAAUUGUAAAUUCAUUAGUGGAUUAAUAUGGUUUUUAGGGGAAUAUUUGAUAGGAAAAGCAGCUCGAAAAUUAUCCAUAUGUGAAUUAGUUAUUAUAAUCAUUGUUGUUGUUUCUAUUUAGAUGGUAUUUAUAAUUGGCUAGCAGUCAUAUAAAUCUCAAACUUUAUGUGCCUUUCAAUUGUAUUCUGCAGUUUCAUCCUCCAGUUUUGUCAAUUUGAUAGAAAAAUUAUCAGUUUGUUUAAAUUGUAUCCAUUGGGUCUAGGACAUGUGCAAAAGUUAAACAGCACUUUUUUUCCCCUAUGUUAAGAACAUCUCAACCUCAAAUCAUCUAUUGUGUGCACCCUAGAUCUAUUGGAACACAUAUGAUACAAUUGCAAAAUCACACAAGUUCAAGAUUUAUUUGAUCAUUGAGCCUUAUUUAUGUGUUUGCAAAUAUUGUUGUUUGGAACGAAUAAAUUCACAAAGUUUUGCGGAAUUUAUUUGUGGAUUCACACUUGACAAUUGAUAUUAUUUUGGGCAUUGUUUCAUUCAUUCUAUGGAAUUUGUUUUCCAAAUUCUAUCAAAACUUUUAGAAGUUGCAAAAAGAAUUCUAAAAAAGUACAGUGCUUUAUAAUUUUCACCAUUGUUGUUAAAACCAGACUAGACCGGCCGGUCGGACCUGUUUAACUAGGAACUGGAUUUUGGUCUGGUUCAGUUUAGUGAGAAAACCCUCGAUCUAAUAGAACCGGAGUAAACCGCUGUGGACCAGUCGGGUACUCAGAGAGCCGGAAACCAGACGGUUUAAUCCAGUUUUCCAAAUUGAACUGUUCUCCUUCAAUUAAAAAAAAUGCUUUAAGGUGCUGCAAGGAUUCGAUCCUGAGACCUUCUGCAACAUUUAUUGCUCAUCAUCAUCUGGACACCCUUCAUUUAUAUUAAUAUAUUUUUGCAAUACUUGUAUUAACCUAGGAAAAAUAAGAAUUACAAUUCAAAUAAUUAACAUUAUUAAUUAUUUAGUUUUAUUGGUUAAUUUAAAUUAUUACAUUAUUUUAUUAUCUCAUAUUUAGUAAAAAAUACAUAGAUUUUUGUAUUUAUGGUUUUACAUAAUUUUAAUAUAGUAAUAUUUAUUUUCCAUUUAUUAUUAUAAAAUUUUAAUUUUAAGCUUUUCUUUAUUACAUAUUUAAAAUUUUAAAUUAUUUAAAAUAUUUAAAUUUCAAAAACUUACUUUAACAAUUAUUUAUAAAAAUAUAUAAAAACAUCAAUUAUAAUAAAAAAAUCAUUAUUAUUUAUUUUGUAAUAUUUAUUUAAUAAUAUACCGGUUCAACCUUGGUUCGACUACAGUUGAACAUGAAAUUCUUAACCCUUUGCCCUUACCGGUUCUUUGAUCGGCCCAGAUUUAAAAACAUUGAUUUUCACUAAUGAUUUUGUCUUCCAAAAUGAAAUUUAUGUGUAAAUAACUAAACAUGUAAUGGAUAAGUAAUGGCAAUCCAUUUACAUAUUGUCUGAUUUAUAUUAGCAGAUACAUUUACGAAUUCUUUUAUAAAUUUCAUUAGCAACUGAAAUGACUUGGAAUAUUUGGUAUUGAAUUGGUUCCAAACACAAUAUAAAUGCAUUUGUGUAGAAUUUGAUGGUUGAAUCUAUAAUUAUUUAUCCAUUUACAUAUUGUCUGAUUUAUAUUAGCAGAUAAAUUUACGAAUUCUUUUAUAAAUUUCAUUAGCAACUGAAAUGACUUGGAAUAUUUGGUAUUGAAUUGGUUCCAAACACAAUAUAAAUGCAUUUGUGUAGAAUAUGAUGGUUGAAUCUAUAAUUAUUUAUCCAUUUAUGUAUUGUCUGAUUUAUAUUAGCAAAUAAAUUUACGAAUUCUUUUAUAAAUUUCAUUAGCAUCUGAAAUAACUUGGAAUAUUUGGUAUUGAAUUGGUUCCAAACACAAUAUAAAUGAAUUUUGCUAUAUGGUGUCAUUUUUUGAAUCAUCAGUUUAGGUGCACUACUUGUGUAUGAUUUUGAUAUUUGCAAUGAAAUUAUCAAAUUCUAUAGGUAAUAGGAUUAAUCCUCUAUAUUUGGAACAUAUUUGAUACCCUUGGUUUAUGUAGUGGAGAUACUGGUAGUGAGGAAGAUGAUGAAGAUAUGGGUGUAGAUACUGCCAAGCAGACUGAUGAAGUUACCCAUGCACUAGCUGUAGCAGAUGCACUUGGUAGAACGCUAAGAAAUAAGAACUCAAUGACCAAAUUUGAUGAUAUAACUGAUGGCUUGAAGGAACUUGACAUGGACCAUUAUGAUGAAGAGGAUGAAGGUAUAUUAGAAUCUAUCUGAUUUUAUUUCUUCCAUGUAUAAUUUUUACUUAUUUAUAUAUGUACAAAAAUGAAAGGUGUCCAUGGUCACUUUUCGUCUAGUUGGAGGGUUAGGAUUGGUUGUUGAAUUAUUAGUUGGUGAUGAAGACGUUUCAUUAAAUUGCUAGAUUGUAGUUUCUUAAUUUCAUUGCAAUUUGGAAGCGCAUAUUCUACAAUUAAACAAGCUCCACGACAAGAAUAUUAAUUUGGUUCGCUCUUUCAACAUAGAGACACAUCCAUGGACAUGCUUUUCCACUGAUCAAUAAAAUCAUGCAUUAUAGGCUCAAAGCUGCCUAUCCUGUGAUCCAAUUUCAUCCUAGAGAACUCUCACAUCAAAUUGCUCUCAUAAUAAAUACAUUAGUUAGUCUCUCUCAUUCUCCUCUAAACAUAACCUAAUAUAUUUACUAUUUUGGCCACAUUAUAAUAAGUAUUAUACUUUGUCCUCUCAUUCUCCUGUAGACAUAAAUUGUUUACUACUUUAACUUCAUAUCUGUGAUCCCUCUAUGGAAUGCAAGGGACAACAGUCCUUUCCUCUUGGACUAUGUCAUUUUUUCACCUUUGGCCGAAACCGCUCUCCCCUCCAUGGAGGCAAGAGCCACUCUCCACAAUAGACAAAAGCCUUUCUUUCCACAGGUAAAGGCCAAAAUAAACUCUUAUUUCUAUUGUUAGCCUCCAAUUCUAUUCUAAUUAUGAAUUCAACUCAAUUUAGGAAUAACGCAGUAAGUACGAGCUGUACCUAAUAUAGGAAUUAAUUCUAAUCUUCUAUUAUAUUGAGGAAUUUUUCUGCAUUUAAAUUAGUAAAAGGUCUUUCCAAUCUUUACUAGGAUUAUGAGUUAUAAAUAUAAUAGUAACCACAUUGGCUCAAAUCCAUCAACCAUUAUAUAGCUCAAAAAUUUCAGUGUGUUUGAUAUAGCAAGGAAUCAUAAACUCAGUAAGGAAGCAAACAAAAACAGAAUUAAGAAAUAGCAACAGGAAGAAGAGAAUUUUUUUUUCGAAGAAACCCUAAGGGUCCUGGUGGAAUAAGAUACAAACUAUCUUCUUCACACCCUGGCAAUAGUACUCACUGUCCCCAAGCAGUAAGGAAUCACAGAACCAGUAGUGGAGCAAAUAAAAACAGAAUUAAGAAAUAGCAACAGAAAGGAGAAUAUUUAUUCAAAGAAACCCAAAGGGUCUAGGAGGAAUAUACUCACUGCCCCUAAGCUGCUCAAGCUGGAAGAAAUAAAAAUUCAAGUCAUGUCCUGCUCAUUCCUCUCUCCCUCAAUUUAUUGUCCUCUUAUCCACCUUUCCAGCUGUCAUUAGAUGCUCAUUGCACCUCAUUCUUUCUAUUACAAAUUCCACUAGAAUUCUCUUGGAAUCUCCGGGCCUUCCUCCGUGACCCUAUCAGUGUUCAAUUAUAAAUCUUUAUCUUGGACAUAAUGCUUCUUUCUUCUAAAUCCUCGUGUCUUUGACUUUCUUGAUUUUGCAUCAAGAUCUCCAUCUUAAUUUCAACUUUCCUCCACUUUCUUCCUCACCAAGAUUGGCUCCUUCCUCUUAUACCAUUUUUUUGCAACUAUGGAGGUGCAUAAAACAAAGCAAAAGAUCCAUAAUAACAAUACUUGCAUAGUUUAUCCUUUUCACUUAGGGUUACAUCUACAGACAUGCAUUUCUUCUACUAUCUUAGAACUAUACAUUGCAAGCUUUUUUUUUUUUUUUUUUGUCUAAAUACAUUGCAAGCUUAAAGCAUCUAUUCUUAACCUAUUACAUCCAAGAAUUCUGAUAUCAAAUUCUUUAUAGUAAAUAUAUUAGCUAGUCUCUCUCAUUCUUCUUUGGACAUAACUUAGUAUGUUUACUACUUUGACUAUAUCUUAGUAAUUACGAUUUUUGUCCCUUUCACUCCCAUUUAGAUAUAAUUAAAAUAAUUGCUAUUUUUAGCUUUAUAUCCAUGAUCCCUCUAUGGGCAGCAAUGAGCAAUUGUCCUUUCCUCUUGGACUAGGUCCUUUCUUCACCUUAGGCAGAAGGCUCUCGCCCUUGAUAGAGGCGUGAUGGCUUCAGAAUGGCAAAAGCCUUUCUUUCCAUAGGCAAAAGCCAAAUUAACAUUUUUUUACAUACUUUAACUGAUAACAUUAACCACUUUAAUCCUAAUCUAAUUGGGAAUUCAAUUCAAUUUAGGGAUAACACAAUAAAUAGGAGUCCUACCUAAAAUGGGAUGUAAUCAUCCAUUUUAUUGUGGAGUAUUUCUUCCAUUCAAAUUAGGAAAAUGUUUCUUCAAAUCCUACUAGGAAUAUAAGCCAUAAGUAUAAUAAAGUUCUUGCCAAAACUUUUUUAUUCAAUUGAAGUUGAUAUUUUGGGACUACUUUGCAUAGUUAACUUAUUACUGGGUACAUGAUUAAUGGUGCAUUUUUGCGUCUUAGGCAUUGAGCUAUUCAGCACAGGACUUGGGGACCUUUACUACCCAAGCAAUGAUUUGGACCCCUAUUUAAAGGAUAAAGACGUAAGUUUAACUACCUUAUAUUCUGGCUAGAAGUUAUUAAUAUUUGUCUGCUAAUAGUAGUACAAGUUUUUUCAGGAUGAUGAUUCAGAAGAGCUUGAGGACAUGACCAUCAAACCAAAGGAUGCAGUCAUAGUUUGUGCCCGUAAUGAGGAUGAAUUCAGUCACCUUGAGGCAUGUAAAUUUUAGUUGGAAAUUACUCUCUUUCUCUUUCUUUGAUCAAGUGCUCAUAAUUUAUAUGCAGGUUUGGAUAUUUGAGGAAUCAGAUGAUAAUGAUUCAAACAUGUAUGUUCAUCAUGAUAUUGUUCUGUCAGCAUUCCCCCUUUGUGCAGCAUGGCUUGAUUGUCCACUCAAGGGGGAAGAAAAAGGUUUGAUAACGCAUAUGCUAUCGUAUAGCAUCCAUACUUUUCUAAUGUGUUCCUUUUUUUUAUUUUGGCAUUCAUAAUUUAUUUAUUCUUUUAAUUUAAAAAUAACUGCAUCUCACUUUGGCAUCACCUUCAAACUUAUCUUUUAGCAGUUCUACUGAUUGAUGAUUUUUAAACCUUUGCAGGAAAUUUUAUAGCUGUGGGUUCAAUGGAACCUUCAAUUGAAAUAUGGGACCUUGACAUUGUAUGUGAAGCAUGGAUUUUACUCAUAAGCUACAAGUUUCUUAAGUCUUUAAUUAUUAGAUUGUUGCAGAAUCUCUUACAGUUUUCAUGUUCUCAGAUUGAUGAAGUGCAACCAUCUGUGGUUUUAGGUGGUGUUGCUGAAGAGAAAAAGAAGAAGAAAGGAAAAAAGGUAUACUACUACAUCCUUAGACAAUCGUUAUCUUUUGAUUUUGUUAUUUAUAUUUGCAAAAUACUUACCCAGUUAGUAUACCUUAUAUGAACAUUAGGUGAUAACAUAUUUAGCUAUUUGAGAAUUUGAACUACUACAUCAUUUUUUGUUCUAUGAAAUUGUACAAUAGCAUCAUGCUGCUUCUGGUGAAUGCCUGAAGUAUUUCUUAUAAAAUCUGUGAAAUUUUCUCGACAACUGUCAGAUGCUAUUGUAUUCAAAUUGUGAAUUAUCUAUGUGGUUGUCUGCUUUGGUGCACUGCUUGUCAUACUGAAUGCUUCAUGCACCUAUUCAUCAACUUCUAUAAGGAAUGAGACACUCAUAAAUUUGAUGCAUCUCAUUUAAUGCGCAGUCAACUUUUACCUUGGUACCUGAAAGGAGGUAUCUUGUAACAAGCAAUGACACCUUUUAUAAAGAAGUCAAACAUAUAUGCUGGUAUAGCAACAGCAUACAUGAGAACAUGUUAAAUACAUCUAUCUAUUAUUGAUAAUGGAUAAACCAAAUCCAUAACAAACAAAUUAUACUUUAUCUUCUAAUUUCUUAUCUCUAUCAUCUCAUCUCCUCUUAUUAGUUUGUUCUUAGAUUUUGAUUAUCUUAUCUUAAUAAUUUAUUAUCUAAAUAAUUACUUGUAUGAGUCUUCUAUUUUAAUUAGAAGUCCUGUGAUUGUAUGAACCUCUACUAUAUAAGGGGUUUAUUUUUAUUGAAUAAGACAAAACAGAAAAAUUACAAACACAAUUGAGAUUUAAGACUAUAUCCUUAACGAGUCUAAGGUGUUAAGAACUCCCUCUAAUGAGCUCCUUCCCAUUUAUCAUCCCGUGAUGCGAUCUGCCUAUGCCUUGGGAAUAUUAAAUGAAUUUUUUUAACUUUUGGGUGGAGGUUAUUCUUGAGAAAAUUAUGUUUCAAGUUACUGUUUAAAGUGAAGGUCUUAGGACAAACUAGUAAAAUGGUUGCUACUUGCUAGAUUUGGGUUAAUUCAAUUUGAAUUGGCACAAUUAGAAGUGGCUGGUUCAUUUCUGUUGGCAUGUAUUUGUUUUUUUUCUGUUUAAAUUUAAGUGAUAGUCUUGAGCGGAUUGCACGCCCUUCAGGGUAUUAUUAAUGAGUAAUUUUUGACACUGCCAUUCCAUAUCUGGCAGGGUAAUGAUUCUGAUAUAGUUGUUAUGAUAUGGUCCUAAUGAAUACUUUCUUUUUUUCCAUGCUUCCUUCUUUUACUAAUUUCUGCAACUUUCUGCAUUAGACAUCAACCAAAUACAAAGAAGGCAGUCACACUGAUUCUGUACUUGGCCUUGCCUGGAAUAAACAGUUCAGGUUUGUUGGAUUGUAUUGUGUCGAGUUCCUUUCUUGCUUCUUCUGGAUGUUAAUGAUAAUAAUACUGAUGGUGACGGUGCAGGAAUAUCCUUGCCAGUGCCAGUGCUGACAGGCAGGUCAAACUUUGGGAUGUUACUACUGGAAAAUGUGAUAUUACCAUGGAGCAUCACACAGACAAGGUGGAAUAUACCCUUCAUGUUCUAUUUAAAUCAUGUGGUAUCAUUUGUUUUCAGUUUGAUUCUCAUCAACAUUCAUGCAACUUUAGAGCUGCUGAUGUUUGUAUUGGCCCAUCAAGAACUCUCAAGCAUAUGAAUUGAUGCAUUCAGCAAUGCAUAGGCUAACCUGCAUGUGAUUUCAGAACUGAACAUGCCACUGUUCCUAUGUCAAGUACAAAGUUUAAUAUAUAUAUAUACAUAUAAACAUCCCUAUCAACUCUUAACUUUAAAAAGAAGAAGAAGAAGAGAGCGUAGGACUUCGGUCCGACUUUUUCUAAGAUAAUCUCAAUCACCCAAGUUAUAAACUAUGUCCUCCAACAUUUGGGGACAAUAUUAAAUAGGAGGCAAUUUUUGAAUCCCUCCAAAUGACAUUUAUAGUACAGGCAGACUCCUAUAUAUUUUAUACUCCCCUCCGUCUCAUAAUUUUUUUCUAUUUUACUUUUUCGCACAAAUACAAUUUUUUUUAUUAACUUUUAAAUUAUACCCAUUUUAAAUACAUUAAGUUUUAUUAAAUACUAAGAGAUAUUUUAGGAGGUUUUUUAGAAAUAAGACAAAAUUAAAUAGGGUUAUGACAGUCAAUUUAUAUGUUAUUAUAGUCUAAAAAAGGAAAGUAGACAAUAAUUUGAGACAACCAAAAAAGAAAAUAUGGACAAAAAUUAUGGGAUAGCGGGAGUAUUAUUAAUUCUUUUAGAUGUGGGUUAAAAAAUUUUCUUUGUACUACUGCUUGCAGGUUCAAGCAGUUGCAUGGAAUCAUCACGAGCCACAAGUUCUUCUGAGUGGAUCUUUUGAUCAUUCAGUUGUCAUGGUAAUAUGAAUUAUGCUUAUUUUUCUGUCUUAACAUGGGUAAUGGCUUGUUAUCAGAACUCAGAAAUAGAGAGCUUCACUUUAGUAUGAUUAUUAAGAACUCAAACAUUAAAACUUUUUUAUUUUGGAUUGGGCAUUAUGUAUUAUUUGCUUUGGAGAUGCUCUGUUUUGAUUGUAAUACUCUAUCAUUGCAGAAGGAUGGGAGGAUACCUACACAUCCCGGUUUUAAGUGGUCUGUCACAGCUGAUGUUGAAAGCUUGGCAUGGGAUCCACAUUCUAAUCACUCAUUUGUGGUGUGUGCUUCAUCAUUUCAUUUUGGGUCAUCUUACUAAGGUUUUGAGUUUUUGUUUUUCUUGUAAGCAAAGAAAGCAGGGAGGCGAAUCAUCGCUGUGUCAUAAGUUCGUAAUAGAUAAACUGAAUUUUUGCUUGGCCUCGCUCUAACAUUAACUAAUGGAAACUUGCUGUGCUUUUAGGUGAGUCUUGAAGAUGGUACAGUUCAAGGUUUUGAUAUCCGUGCUGCGAAGUCUGAUUCAACUUCUCAUUCAAAACCAAGUUUUAUUCUCCAUGCGCAUGACAAAGCUGUUUGCACAGUCUCCUAUAAUCCUCAUCUGCCUAAUGUAGAUAUCUGGGUUUUGAACCUCAUUUCUAACUAGGUGUUUUAAUUCUUUAACCUUGCCUGACUUUUUUUCUUUUUUUUGGACAGCUUCUGGCAACUGGAUCUACAGAUAAAAUGGUAUUUGUUUUUAGGGUAAUUUAUAACAUAGUCCUUGAGUUUUGACAAAACCUGCAACUUAGUCCCUGCUAUUGCUAAGGUUUCUUUCUAUUAACAAAAUAGUCUUUCCGUUAAAAUUCAAUAUUAGACUAUAACAAUUUGAUCCUUCGAACCUACAUUUUUUUUAAUAAUUUAAUCCAUUUGGUUUUAAUAUUUGUAGUAGCAAUUUAGGCCUUAUAGUUCUAAUAUUUAAUCAAUUUAGUCCUUCAAUUUGGAUCGACUCCUAAUUUAUGGUUGGCUAAUGAUAAUUUUAAUAGAAUGUCUAUUUUGUUAGUAAAAUAAUAACUCAGGGAUUUAAAUCGUUUACUAUUGAAAAGGUAGGAACUAAGUUGUGAGUUCAGCUAAAUCUCAAGGACUACACUAUAAAUUACUCUUAUUUCAAUCCUUCAUAUACAUGGUACUUGAAAAUGUUUCAUAUAAUCUGAAUGUUGCUGAUUUGUGCAGGUAAAACUUUGGGAUUUGUCGAAUAACCAACCAUCAUGUGUCGCGUCGAAGAAUCCAAAAGCAGUAUGCUAUUCUCCUUUCUCCUUUAUCCAACUUUCUUAAGAAAUAUACAUGAAUUGGAUUUUGACACUGUUGUGAAUGUGCAUAGGGAGCCAUAUUUUCUAUUUCAUUCUCAGAAGAUAGCCCUUCCUUGCUUGCUAUAGGAGGUUCAAAGGGGAAACUGGAAGUGAGUGCAAACAACCUGUUGCAUGUCUAUUCUUUUUGAUGAUAUCUUAUCUGGUGUAUGGAAAUGUACGGUAGAGAUUGUGACAUAUAUCACUGAAAUUUGCAGGUGUGGGACACAUUAUCAGAUGCUGGGAUGUCUAAAAGAUUUGGGAGUCGCAGCAAGCAGAAUGGACCUCAACCUGAAGCUUGAUUGGGAGGGAAAGGUACCAUUGUUUUCCAACAUGGAGAGUGUAAUUUUCUGAGAUUGAUUGGCAUUGCAUACAAAAGUAAUGCCCAUCAUAAUUAUGAAAUUUUGUAAGGUUGCAGGUCGUUUUGUUCUUUGUUUCCUUCGUUUUUCCAAUUUUCUUUUGAAAAAUGUUCUUCCUCGUUGGGUGAGAGAAAAAUUGUCUUGUGAUAUCUAUAAUACAUGUAAAAAAGUGAGGAAGACAUUUGGAUUUCCAUAGAUACCUUUACAAAUAUUUCACAAAUAUAAAUAUUUUUAUUAUAUUGUUUAAUUAAAUAGGUAUGUAUUUUAUUUUUUAAUAUUAUGAUAAAUAAAUAUAGAAGUAGAAAUAUUAUUUUUCAAUAGUUUAAUUUAAGCUAUUUUAAUUUUUAAUAAUUUUAAAUUUUUAUAAAUAUGUUGACACAUUAAUACUACUAGUUUAAGUAAUGGUAUUAUUAAAGCCGUUAUAAAAUUAUUAUUUUAAUACACUAAGGUAAUAGUUUAACAUUGGUUUAAAAUUGUUAUAAAAAAAAUUAUUUUUUUAUUAUAUAUAAUAAUAUAUUUUAAUUAAAAAUUUAUUGUGUUUAAUAAAAUUAUAAUUUUAAUAGCAUUUCUUAUUUACUAAAAAAAUAAUCAAAACUGUUAUUUUAUAUUUAAUAGUAAAAGUAAAUAUAGUGGGUCAGUAGUGAAUUUAAACUUGUAUAAUAUUUACAUAAAAAAAUGGUAACUUCUUGUUUUAAUUUAUUUUUUAAUUUUAUUAAUUUUUUAAUACAUAUAUUAGUAUUUAAAUAUAUAUAUAUAUAUAGAGUAAAAAAAUUUAUAUAUUUUAAAUAUUUUUUAGUGCUAACAAUAAUAAGAUAAACUAAUAAUAGUUAAAGUUUAAAACGCAAGAUAUAUUUAAUUAAUUUAAGCAUUUCAAAAAAUUUUAAUAUUUUCAAAUAGUUUUAGCGUAUUAUUUAAUUAUAAUAACUAAAAUUCUAAUACUUAAAAUAACAUAUCAAAAUAAAAAAAAUUUAAAAUUUUUUAGUAAGAGUAAAGCUUUGUAAUAAUACUUUUUUAUUUAUUUAAAAUAAAUAAAAAAAAUUAAUAAAAAAAAUUAUAUACACUGAAAAAUUAAUAAUACCUUUCAAAUUAUAAAUUACUAAAUAUAAUGUACUAUUCCUUUGGAAGAAAAUAAUUUAUUAUUAAAGCUCAAUAAUUUUAAAUAAAAUGAAUUAUAAAAUUAUUAAUUUUGAAAUUCUUAUUGCAGUAGAAAAAAAUUUAUCUUACCUAAAAUUUAUAUUAUAAUUAGACUAUAAUAAUGUUUUUUUUUAAAAUAUAUUCAUUAUAAUUUUAAUAAAUAAUAAAAAUUAGUGAAUGCAAUCAAUAAACUUGCAUCCUUCACGAGGAUGAAUAUUUAUUAAUGAAAUUAUUUUAUUUUAAUAAAUCUUUCAUUUAAAAAUAUAAUAUAUUCAUUAUUAAUUUGAUUAACUGAAUAAUUUGGAUUUGAGAAAGCAACUCUCUUUGUUACAAUACAAUUAGAUAAAUUAAGAGUUAAUUAUUAACCAAUAUAUUAGAAUUUUUCUUAAAUUAUAUCAUUUAUAUAUGAAAGAUAAUUAACUUGAUGACAAUAAUUAUUUUCAAAAUUAUAAAAUUUUAAUUUUAGUUUUAAUUGAAUUUAAAUUGAAUGAGCGUAUGUUUUAUAAAAAUAAAUGUGAUAAAAAAUUUAUUGCUAAUUAUUAAAUUAUAUAAAUAUUGCUAUUUUUUAGAGCUAUUGAAACAAUUAAUUUGAUGUUUUGUCCAUAAAAGCGAAAGUUAAAAAAAAAAAUAAUGGAGAGAGGUUAAAAUAAAGUUUUUAUUUUUGAUAACUUGAAAAUCUAUUAUAACAGAUUAAGUAUUUUUCUUUUUUAAAUAAAAAUUAAAAUCAAAUAUUUUUUAAAACAAAUUAAACUUGAGGGAUGAAAAUAAACAAAAUUUAAAAUUGAGUGAUUAUGUGUGAAAAUUUAUAAUAGUCCCUUUUGUUUCUUCUAGUCCAUAAAAUUAUAAUCUUUCUUUAAGAAUUCUGCUUGAAAAAAUGAAAAAGGAAGAAGAUGAAAUUGAGAAUAGGUUGAAAAAUACAUUUUAGACAUUCAGGAAGCUGAUUGUUCAUUCAACUGAUAUUGAGUAUUCAAUUAAUUUAUUUUCAAAUUGAAUUCAAUCGAAAUGAAAAAUUGAUUCAAUUAAAUCGUUUUAAAUAUUUGAUUCUUUUGAAAUUUGUAUUUUUCUUUUAUAUUCAUAUUCAAAUAUGUGAGGAACAAUUCCAAAUUACUUCCGAAUAAAUAUUCAAAUACAAUUUUUAUUAGCAAGAACUUAAAAAUCAAAAUCAUCCAAUAAAAAAUGCAAUAUUACAAAUUGAGGAAAAUAAAUUAAAGAUAAAAGAAAGGGAGAUGGCACUGCUGUAUAUAAUGCUGGUGUUAUUAUCUUUGAGUUAAUGGCUAAAACAUCUUAUAUUUUUUAUUUUGUUACCAUUAUAUUUUAUAUUUUUUUAAUAAUUAAAUUAUAAUUUUUUAAAAGUUGUUUCAAUUGUAUUAUGUCUGUACCGUUAAAAACUAACAGAAUUGCUACAUAUUGUAUUUUAUUUUUAUUUUUCAUUUUAUACUUUUAUUUUUUGUCAAUUAAACUUUAUUCUUUUAAUGUCUGAUUAAAUAUAUCUUACUGUUACAUGUAUAUAUAAAAUUCAUCAAAUUGUUCCUUUUUGCUAUUAAAUAUAUUUAAAAAUUAUUUUAUAUUAUUAUUUAUUUUUUAAUUUUUAUCAAUAAUUUCUAAUAACUAGUUCUCUUGACUUUUUUUUACUAAAAAUCAUUAUCCAUCAAUUUUUUUUAAAAUUUGUCUAAUAUGUUACUAGUAUUAUUUUUAAAACUAUCGUUACGAAAAUAAUUUUAUUAAAUAUAUUAGUUAUGAAAUAUUAAAAUAAUAAUUUAAAAUAAUAUUUAACAUGAAUAAUUUUAAAAUAUAAAAAAUAAUAAAAUAUUUUUUAAAAAUUUUUCAAAAUUAUUCUUUUAACUCUAAAGCAUAAUACUAAUCAAUCACUUUUCAUAAAUUAUACUAAUAUUUAGGGUGAAUUUCAAAAAAAUUAAUAAUAUAUAAAUUAAGUUAAGAUUUGACUAUCUAAUCUCAAUUGAUUAAAUGAUUAAAAGAAUAUACAAUUCAUCUGAAAUCAUAGAUUUUAGUCUCCAUUCUUCCAUUUCUUAAAAAAAAUUAUUAAUAAAAUAAAAAAUUAUUAAUAAAAUUCUAUACUUUUAAUUUUAUUGCAAUUUUAUUCUGAACUUUUAAAUUAUUAUCAAUUUUAUCUAAAAUUUACUGAUGUGAUAAUCUAACUGUGUUGAGUGAUGUGAUAAUUCUGGUAGUUCUAACCGUAAAAGUAAUGAUAAGAUACAAUUUAAGUAACUUUAAAAUUUAAUAUUUAAUUAAUAAAAAAUAUAAAAUAUAAUUACAACAAAACAAAAAAUACAGUAUUUUUUGGCCAUUAACUCAUUAUUUUAUAAGUUGCCAACCACUGUAUCACAAUCUGCUGAAAUAACAUAUCCUUCUUAAAUUUUAUUUAUUCAGUUCUUAUUGAUUUCUCUGAUUUUUUAUACUAAAAAAACUAAAUAAAUUUGGUUAAACUAUUUUUACAAAACCUAAAAUGAAUUAAGCCAAACUAAAAAAAAAUGAAUCAAUUUUUAAUUUGAUUCAUUUAGUUAUUUUAAUUUAAAGAGAGUAUUAAGCCAAACUAAAAAAACUAUUUUUACAAAGAUAAUGUUUUAAAUAAAAUUAAUUUCAGUCAAUUUUCUCAUAUUAAUUUUGUGUAAAGAGAAAUACAUUGAUGAAGUUUAUUUAGUCGGAAUAUUUACAUUAUUUAGGGUUUAUUUGUUUCGAGAAUAAUAAAUUUCAGGAAAAUAAUAUAUAUAAUUUUUAAUAUUUAAAAUAUUCAAAAAAAUUAAUUAAUAAAAAUAUUUUUAUAAUAAAAAAUUAUGUCAUUUUAUUAAAAUCACUAUGUAUAAGUUUAUUAUAUCCUUUUAUUUAUAUUGUAAUCAUAUGAUAAAAAUAAAUUAAUUUUAGAAUUUUUUUUAUAAACAAUUUUUGACAAACAAUAUUUUACCCGAAAAAUAUUUUAUACAUAUAAACUAUUUUUUUUUAUCUAAAUCAGUAAAUCUAGAAAUUUAGGCUAAAAUUUAUUUUUUUUUAGAUUAACUUGAAUUUAAAUUAAUUUUUGAAUUAAUUUGAACAAAUAGUUAAAAGAAGACAUAAUUAAAAAAGAAAAAAAUAUUUUUUAAUAAAUAUAAGAUGUGAAAUCAAAUAUUUAACUAUAUUUUAAUUGUUAAAAAAAUAAAAAACAUAUAAUAUUUUACCGUUAAUAAAUAAUAUAAUUUUUAAAUAUUAAUAUAAAUAUUAUAUUAUCAAAUAUUACUGUAAGUCAUAUUAAACUAUAGAUGCUGAGGAAAUAUAAAUUAUAUUUUUUUAAUUAAUAAUUAUAUUUUAAUUAUUAUGUUAAUAUUUUUUAAUUAUAUUUAUAAAUUAUCAUUAUUUUUAAUUAUAUAAUAUUAUAAAAUAUUAUUUUAAUUUAAUAUAAAUUAAAUUAAAGACGUGUGAAAAUGAGUAAAUUCUCCAAGGUAUUUAUUUGUACUUUUUUGGUUUUAGAAGAAAAGAGGUCAAAUAAUUAAUUUUAAUAAAAUAUAAGUAACUAAUAGUAAUUUUUCUUAAUUAAACGGAAAACAAAACUCAUAAAACAACAUUCUGUCUCACUCUUUCUCCUUUGGGAAUCGCAAAGGCAAAGGCAGAAGCGGUCGACUGCUUCUCUGUCUCUCUCCAUCUUUCGCAAGAAGCUGCUUUGUCUUAAAUUGAUCAAUGGAAGUCCUCAGAAUCUAAAGCAUUUCUCAAAGAAGCAAAAGAGAUUUCCCCCUUUUUUUUGGCCUUUGUUGUUAAAACGGCACAGCGUUUUGGAUCGUCUAAUAGAGAGAUUGGGGAAUUUCUCAAGUCUUAGGGCAUAUGGCAGACUCAUCGAAGGAAGAGCUGUUGCAGCUGAUCAAGCGGUUCGGCGCUUACAUAACCGUCAAGAUGUCUAAUCUCUUCUCGAUCUCUUUCCAUAACCUGGUCUCUCUCUCUCUCUCUCUCUCUCUCUCAUCUCUUGCUUUUACUUUCAUUUCAAUUUUGGUUUUCGUUUUCAUUUUCAUUUUCUAGUUUGAUCUAUAAGGCUUUCAUUUUUAAUUUCCCUUUUUUUUUUGUCAACCUAUUGGGAUCGAUCAUUCGUCUAUUUUGAAUUUCUGCAUUUCUUUAACAUAAUGUGUCUAAAUUGCUUUGGAUUUUGUUGCCAUUGAUAGAUUUGUAGAUCAUGGAUUGGUGACAUUAAAACGGUUGCAAUUGGAUGCAUGUGUAUAUUCAAGGAUCAUACCUUCAGUAUUAGCGAUUUCCUAUACUAGUUGUUUAUUAGUUGAAGCUUUGUUUGCAUUUUUCGUGGUUUUUAUUUAAGACCAGAUUUUCUUGAAUGGCGCUGGAAUUCACUAGGAUAGAGGAAUUUGUCUUGAGUUAGUGGUGAACUUCGUGCAGUUAGUGCUUACUUGCUUGUGGGUUUUAAGGGCAGGGAGUUUUACAUUUCAGAAAUAAUAGGAGCAGUAUUCAUUAUUAUCUCACUGGAUGCUGUAGCAAUUAUGCUGAUAUAAUUGGGAAAUGUGCCAUGUAUUAAGCUCCUGUUGUGGAGAGCUGCGUGGGGAUGAUGUUCCGUUUUCUUUGAUGGAUGACCUUCCUUGCGUAUUUUUUUCUGUUUACUAUAAUAUUAUUUAUGAGAAAAAAUGGUAAAAUUACUUGGUUUUACUUAAAAUUGUGGUUAACCAGUGUGGUGUUGCUGGUGGUUGGUGACACACAAGGUUGACUAACAAUGUUUGGUGAACUAAUGGAAAUGUGUUUAUGUUAUUUCCUUACAAGCUUUUCUGUUUGUUGAAUUUUUCUUAAGUUCGGAAAGUGGCAUCUUUCUCCAUUUGACCAUAAUAACAAAUGGGUUAACAAAGGUAAAUAACUUAGCUAGGUGGAGAUUUUUCCUUUAAUCUUCAUAAACACAAAUUUUGAAGCUUAAAAAUGUUACUUGUUCUUGGGUUUUCUUUGAUUUUAUUUUCAUCUUGAGAAAUCUGUUUAUGUUCUUGAAUCUUAACUCAUGUUGGAAUACUCUAUACGGCCAAACCAUCUUCACCUUGUGACAAUGUGUUAUUUUACAAAUUAUUAGGUCUUAAAUAUAGUGGAUGUUUUCUAUCUAUAAUGAUAGGUGUUGUUAUGUGGCAGGUGUUAUAUCGAGCAAAAGAAAUUACUUUUCAUUUGGUAAUUGGUAUAUUUAGUAGUUCUUACCCCUGUAAAAUUGGUAUCAGGAUUCUCGAUCUGUUGGGGCUAUUGCAGGCCUUGCAGUUGCCAUAGUCUUUACAUGGAGGCUCUUGAGGUCACCUGGUGGACCUCAACAAAGGCGACCAAAACGACAAGCUCCUACAACUAGUAGCUCUGUUGUCGGUACUCAAUCAAAUUCAACAUUGAUACCAUCUGGAGUUCGUUCUUCAUCAGAGGAUUUGAGAGCACAAAAUGUUGUUGAUGAAUUCUUUCAACCAGUAAAAGUAAGCAUCAUUUGUUGUCCUGAUCUGAAAAUUAUUGUCGUCAUUUGAGUAGGCAUUGUGUAUUCUUAUUGUGCAUUUUCUCUACUUUUUCAGCCAACUUUGGGACAGAUAGUUAGACAGAAAUUAAGUGAAGGAAGAAAGGUAAACAUUUGUUGCCUGUCAGAUGUGCCAACAUAAUUUUUCCAUUUUUUGUUUGCAUUUGUUUGAAGUAUGUUCUGCAUGCUCAAUUUUAACAUGAUUUAGAUGAGUUUUAACAUAUAUUUUUUCAAACAUCUUAGUUUAUGUGCCAAUUUUAUGUAUCUGUGGCAACACUUGAGCUAUUCAUCACUUCUAUAAGUUGAAUACAUGCAAUUGGACCUUGUUUGUUGAGUUUUUGACUUUCUUCUGAUUAAGAAAAGGUUAAACAUAUAUUCCAUGAGGAAUCUAUUGGUCAUUAAAAAAAAGCCAGCGGGUGAAACACAGAUUGUUGGUUUCGCUCUUAGUCAAUACAACACAUGCACAUUGACAACUUAGAGGAGUCACUUUCAUGUACCUUUUUAUGUGUAGGAGACACUCUCUCUUUCUCUUUUUUUUUUCUAAAGUAUUGGGAACAAAAGUUGAAUUCUAUCAUUGGAAAAAUCAAAUUCUCUUUGGAAUUGAAUUCUCUCUUCUCUUUCUCUCUCUCUCUCUCUAAAAUGUUGGCAAAAAAUUGAACAGGUAUUUGAAUGCAUUACUGUUCGACAAUUACUUGAAAUGUAUGUAAAAAUGUAGUAUCAGAUGCAUUCAGAUAAUUUUAAUUGCCCAUUUCUAUAUUUAGAUUAUCCUGUCUGAUUGAGUGCAAAGCUCAUUUAAAUUGGGCAAGCAACUUAUGGGUCUUUUGUUCAGGCUUUUGUAAUACUACCAGCCAUUUGUUCAAGUUAGGCUUUAUUAUCCAUCAACAAAUACUAGUCAACUGCCGUGCCAUUUGGCUCAAGUUAGCCUCUAUUGUAUCUGUCGGUGAUAAUUUAUAGUUCUUCUAAAAUUCUCAGAGCAUGUUAUGUGGUAUUAAAAUACAUGCCACAUCACUAACCACAAAAAUUGCUUUCUUGCCUCAUCUUUCAAUUGAGUUUUGAAAUUUCAUUCUAAUGAGAUUUCUCAACUAUUGGCAUUGUAUUAUUUUUUGUUUCUGUCAAAGUAGCAAGCGAAGAGUUUGAACUUCUUUCAUAAAGACAGCCAUUCUGCUUUGGGAUUCACAUCUUAUAACUUGUUCUAUGCAGGUAACAUGCCGCUUACUUGGAGUAAUCCUUGAAGAAAGUGUUCCAGAGGAGCUUCAGGUGGUGAAAUGCUUUUUCAUUGAAAUUUGUGCUUUUAACAGCUAUAUGCAAAGGAUUAACUUUAUUUGUUUUGUUAAGGGCAGAAACAAGCUACUGUGAGGUCCUCCGUGCUGGAAGUGCUAUUGGAGAUAACCAAAUUUUGUGAUCUUUAUCUCAUGGAAAGAGUUCUUGAUGAUGAGAGUGAAGUAAGUGCAAACUCUAUUGUUUACAACAGUAUCUUAUCAAAUAGUGAAGAUUAUCAAUAUGCUUAACUGUGUUGCAUUUUGGGUGAUUGUGGUUCAUGAUGUCAGUAUACUUUUUCUUAUUUGCAUAAUUAUUUCCUGUGAUGGCACACACAUCUCUGACCUUUACCAUGUGCAAUAAUGUUAUUUUUUGCUAAAAUUACUCAUGCAUGAACCCUGGGUCAAUUUUAAUAAUUAAAAAUUCUGAAUUGGCUGGAUGUUUCAAAAAAUAUAAUGGAUCAAUAUUCUCAACUUUCUUCUUGUUGGAGAUUUUUCUUUUUACUAAUAGGGUUGCUGUUGGUCGAUCAAGUGUUUGCUUUUAUUAGCUAGUUGCAUUAACUGUAAAUGAGCUUAAUUUCUUUCCAAGCGGCUUUUUUUUGUUUAUUUUAUUUCGGCUUUCAUUUUGUCAAUUAUGUUUGCUAUAUUUUUCUUUAUAUUCAUAUCAUGAACAAUAUCCUGCAGCAAAAGGUUCUUGCAGCAUUGGAAAAUGCAGGGUUUUUUACAUCUGGUGGUCUUGUCAAAGACAAGGUAAUUAAAAAUGGCUUCUACAUUAUACUAUUUCUAGGUUAUAUAUCUAUGAAAAUUACUGAGGUUGGAUUUUAUGACUCAUCAGGAUACUAUAAGUUGUGGGUCAUUACUGCAUGCAAAUAAUCCAUGAUAUUGUCCAUAGUACAAUGCUACGAAUUUCUUGGCAUCAAUUUUAGUAUUCAUGCUGUAUUUAUCAAUAGGUAGUCAUCAUAAAUUUGAUUAAUUUUCUUAAUAUGGACUCGUCCAGCGAAAUUAUGAAGAUGUUUGUAUGAUCUUUCAGUGAUUGAACUGAACGAAUUUGAUUCUUGAGAAAAUUAUGCCUACUCAUUGAACAUAAACUCCUUGAAAAUUACUUUUAACUCUCGGAAAAUAUUACUGCAGUAAAUAUCCUCAAUCUCUCUAGAUGGCCUAAGAAAGAAAGUUCACCUAUAAUUUCUUGAAGAUGACAGCAUUAUGUACCAGCUGUCUCCAUGCUUAGAAUAUAUUCUUAAUUAUUCUUUUAACAACAACUGUACUGUGAUAAUACGAGUGAAUAUUGAUCUAUUAUUAUUAUAUAUUUUAUCUUACUUCUCUCUUUUUUAAAAUCCUUGCUCCUUGAAGACCUUAAUACUAGAGUCAUCGCUGAUUGCAAUACCAAUCACAUUGGUAGUUUUGUUGGUCAUUAGAUGAGCAAAAUCAAAAUGGUAUGACAACUUUGCGGCGACAACAAAGAUGUAUCAAUAGCAUUGACAUUUGUAAAAUUAAUUGAAACUUUUUAAUCACAUUGUCCAUAUCAUUCAUUUAAUGAAAAUGAAGAUGUCAAUUUUGACCAUUGGUAUAGUUUAAAUUUGCCUAUUAAAUUUUGUUUGGUAUGACAGAUAACAUCUUUUUGCUAAUAAAUGUGAAUUAUGUGAAAAAAUUAAAAUUAUAAUUACUAAAAUCACCUUUUUAUUUACUUUAAACAUUUGUAUCAAAUACAAACUUGUUGCAUGAAAUUAGCACUUUAUUCUUGCUAGCAAAUAAGGUAUGGGUUGGUCCACAGUCUUUGUACUCUUUUCUCAUUGUUAGUUUAAUUGUAUUUCCACUGUGCUUUCAGUACUGAAUUUAAUCUUUAGGUAAAUUUCUUGAUAUUUUAUGAAAUACAAUAUUAUAUAAAUGACACACAAAACAUUGCUGGUGGCAGAACAAAUGUUUCAGCAAAUGGUUUUAAUAUUUAAAGUUUUGGCUGCCAUUUGGUAUGUAAUGGUAAUUACUCAAACAAGGGUAUGGAUAGAUCACAGGGUAUAAGUGGAAGGAAUUUGAAUAUGUUGAUGUUGAAAUGACUUCUAGCUUAUGCAAAAUCAAAUGUAAGUGAAAGGUAAUGCUGCAGGACCCUGAUUUAAGUAACUGGAAUUUGCAAUGAGAAUAGUAGACUAUGGGAAAUUGUGACUGUGUGAUGUUAUGUUGGGAGAAAAGAAACCUGUUCCUGGCAUCAAUUCAGCUCUUUCUAAAGAUGUCACUGUGCUUAACAGCCCCAAGUCUAGAACCAGUCACAGAUCUUUCAACGGUUGUGAUUCCACUUUCGCUAAUAGUUAAGGGUAAAAAGUUCUGAAAAAGAUCGACUCUUAGGGGUCUAUGCCAUGGCUGAAGUAAAAGAAAGGGCAUUUUGCUUUUCACACCCAAAAAAUAUUUCAAAAGUGAUGCCUCUAUUUGCGUAAGUGUGAGACAUUGGCCUUACAAAGGCUCAUUUCCACAUGGAAGUAGAUUACUGAAAGUCCCAUAUAUACUUUGCAUCUUGAAAUGGAAACUCCGUUACUGUAGAAAGGAGCUCAACAAGGAGGCACGCCUUAUCCAGGAUAAGAGUUAUGGGUGUAGCAGCAACCUUGUGUACAUGCGUAAUCUUUUUUCUCUUUACAUGCUACCUACCCCGUCUCUGCCUUCUUUAUGUUAGUUUUUGCUAAUUUCUUACCUUCUUCGGGUGAAUGUUGUUGAUUGACCUAGCUGACAACACUUCUGUAUUGGAGUGAGGCCUUGACAUCUCUUUCUUAGGUAAUAUCAGAAAAGGAAUGUGCAUAUUAUGUUAGUCAGUCCAAUUUCCAGCAAUAAGGAAUGUUGACUUAUAUAAUGAAAAAUCUCCCAAUCAAAUUUCACUAUGAAAUAAACAAUAUGAGAUACUUGUGAGAAGUCGUGCACUUUGAAGUUGGAACGAAAUCCUAAUGCGUGUGUUAUUGGCUCAUUGGCACAUAAAGAAGAAGAAAAAGAAGAAGCAGUGUUUACUUCCUGCAGCAUUGAACUUUAUUCAUGCUCCUAAUGAGAUGGAUGAUUGGGAUUGAUAAUUAGUUCUGUAGUAAUUUUGUUUCCCUUGUUUUAAGAGUUGGGGAUUGUAAUGGAAGCUGCCCCUCAGACGAAACAAGCUUGGAGAGUGCCCUUUCAUGAUCUUCCCAGAAAGCUAUGAACUUUACAUUGUGACUAAAUAUAAAGCUUGAAUAUGGAUUUGCUUGACUUGCAGCUUUUAAUACUGCCAUCAUCAUUUUUCCUUCUGUUUUAUUCUUCCUUUUUGUUCUCUAACGGAUGAAAAAAAAACAUGACUGCAGGUUCUCUUUUGUAGCACGGAAAAUGGACGAUCAUCUUUUGUCCGGCAACUAGAACCAGACUGGCAUAUUGACACUAAUCCUGAAAUUGUUUCUCAGUUAGCCGUAAAUAUUAACAUCCAACGCAUGUCAUUCUUUAUCAAUUACUGAUUGUAAUUUUUUUGUGCUCGUUGUACCUUGUGCCACCUGAGUUUCCAUUUUUCUUUGUUACAGAGGUUUAUCAAGUAUCAGCUUCAUGUUUCUCCCAUUAGACCUGAACGAACUGCAGCAAAUGUGUUCAGCUCUCCGUCAUUGGAACAGUUCUUUGGAUGCAUGUGAUGCCUCACUAGUAAAAGAAUAGAUUGUUCUUUAUGUUCAAACUGAUUACAGCUCAAUGUUGUCUAGAUAACCCUAUGCAGUUGUUGAUUUUCCAAUGAGAAGUGGCCACAAAUUAUAUUAUUUUGUUUGAAUUUUGUGCAUUAGAUUUGGUUAAUUUGAACUCUUCUUCGGUUGGAAAUUUCACCGCAAGCGCAAGGAUCGACUGUAUGUAACUUGUGUCUGUUACAGGAUUUGUAGUCAUUAACAAUAAUUCUGUUGUUCCUAUUUGCAGAGUUCAAAUAGUAUUAUGUCCCAUGACUUGUGGGAUCUUUCUUGUUUGAGGUCAUCGUUUGUUGGUACUUUUGCAUGUUUCCUAGUGUUGUAUUAAAGGAGUCUCGUGUAGAUGAACUGGAUGGUGAUUAUGCUCUCAGUGUGAAAUUAGUUUACUUUGAAAUUAAAUUUUGUAUUUGGAGCCUAUCUUGGCUUUAAAGGCACAUGACUCAUCUAGAGAUUCAGGUCUCCAUAUUUCCCAUUCCCUACUUUAAAAAAAAAAAAAAAGAAAUUGUAUUUGAGUAUUAUCUUUGAUAUGUUGAUAAGAAAGUGGUAAUUUGAUGAGUUUUAUGAACACUGUAAUGGCUAUAUCUUUAAAUUUGUAGAGCUCGCUGAUUACUGAUUUAGUCAAACGCUAAAACCUUCUUAGCUAUGGGUUAGCUUGUAGUUAAUGUGUUGGUUUAAAUUGAGAUUAUUUUAUUAACAAAAAAUUUAGAUAUUAUAUUUUAAUUUAUUGUUAAUUUUUUUUUACAAGUUAAUAAUAUUUUAGCUGUAUGUAUAAUAAAUUUAAGAUGUUUUUUAUUUUGUCAUCUAAGAUUUAGAAAUUUUGGUAUGAAUGUGAUGUAACAAGACUCUCACAGCUUCUUCGUCCAAUAUCUUACUAUUGUAAAAUAAAAUUACAUUUGAUAUUAUUUUAAUAGUAAUUUUAUUCAUACCAAAAAUUCUACAAUAGUUCAUAGUAUAAUCAGUAUCUAAUCUUAAGUAUUAGUUUUUUUCAACAGGGAACGCGCAAAUGUUAUUUUUUAUAAUAUAUUAUAAUGUAUUGAUUUUAAUAACUAAUAAAAUUUAAUUCUUCAUUAUUAUAAUAAAUUGAGCGACCAUUUUUACAUUAAAAAUUUACCUUAUAAUAUCAAUGGAAAGAAUAAAAUAUAAUAAAUUAAUUUUUUUAAAGUAUAUAAUAAAUUAAAUUAAUUAUUAAAUAAUAAUAAAAUUUCUAACAUUAGUUUUAUAAAUUAAUAAAAAUGAGGAUCGUGAAAUUACUACAUUUUCAAAUUUGAAAUUGUACUAAAUUUUAUGGAUCAAAUUAUAACCGUUAUUAAAAAAAGAUUAAAAAAAUAUUUUAUUAUACUAAUUAAAUACUACGUUUAUUAUAUUCUAUUAACUUUUAAAUGUUAAUUAUAUUAUUUUGAUAUUCAUUAUAUUAUUUAAAUAUUCUUAUUAAAAUUAUUUUAUAUCUUAAUAUCCAUUAAUUAAAUUUGCAUCUCUUAAAGUUAUAAUAUUUGAAUUAUGAUGUAGUUUAAUAUCGAACACUUAUCUACAAAAUCAAUCAUGAAAGUAAAACUAACAUUUAAAACAUACUCAUUUUCAAAAAAUAAUCUUAUGAGAAGAGUCAAAGUUUAUAUUUUUGUUUCAGGCGAAAUAGAAAAAUUAGAUAAGCUAACAGAAAAGAAAAAAACAUAUAAGAGAGGAUAUAAACAAAUAAAAGAUUAGAUAAACAAAUAAAAAAUUAAAUCAGUUGAUCACGGGAAUUAUAAUUUUUUUAUUUAAUAGAUGGAAUAUACUAUAUCAAACUCUCACCAAUGGCUUAUGUAUUCAUAAUUAUAAAAGCUACUUUUUCUUUGAUUGUAUAAAUAACAGAAAAAACGUACUUUUAAAAGAACAACCUUCUAUGAUGCUUCUUAUAAUCUAAAUGAGAUCUUUAUGAGAUUUUUAAAAUAAUAUGUCAUUCAUAUAGUGGCACUUUUUAUUUUUGAGCUUUUUUAUCAUUUCAAAACAUCAUACAAAAAGUAUGGUAAAACGUUGUAUAUAUAUAUAUAUAUAUAUAUAUNNNNNNNNNNNNNNNNNNNNNNNACCUAGUUACAAUUUACAAUAGUCUAUGAAUAGUGUCAAUUUAGGUAUGCAAAAUUUCUAUUUUUCAUUUCCAUUUUCUAUAACACAAGUUAUGUUUCCAUGUUUUUUUUUUUCUUUUUUUGUCUUUAUGAUAGGAGCCUUUAUUGCCUUCUUGCCUACCCUCCUGUGCAAUCCUAGCUCGCUAUCUCCUUUGGGUAGUUUUUCUGUCUUUUAUCAUUAGUAAUUAUUGGCUUUCUAUUUUCAUGACACAACAAUUUCCAUCACUCUCCUUCCCCUUUAUAAAACAACAUCAUUUUGUGAAUAUUCAGCGGUGCAGUUUUAUUUCACUAUUGGACUCAUUCAAUUAAUGCUCCCAUAGGACUGACGCAUGUAAGAUUGCGACUAUGCACAAACCUGCAUCUCCACUGUCUUCCUUUUUAUGAUUCCUUUGCUUCAUGUGCUUUCAGUGUUCUCCUCCCUGAAUUCGCUGUAUUUUUUCUAAGAAAAAUUAUUUUAAUAGUCGUGUGCUAUUUAUCAGUUGACUGUAAUGUUGUGUGUCCCGUAAAAUGUUGCUGCUGAAGAAAUGUUGUUCUACAUGGAACCUUUAUCUUCUUUGCACCUAUUCCUUGUGUUUCUUUUCUCCAUGUAUAUUUAGUUUAUUUCCUAUACUUUAAAAGUAAAAGCUAUAUUUUGAUAGUAAUUCUUGCUUAUUGAGUGGUGCAGUUUCAAGUGUAAUGUAUGGACAAUGAUUGUCCCAUUGUCCAUGAACUCCCAUGUUUGGUUUUACUUGCAGUAUUCUUUUAAAAAACUUACGUGGCAGUAAAUGACUUAAUGGCCAUGCAUUCUUAUGCAUAGGUCUGUAUAUUGUUUACAUUAAGUGAACAUAUCACAUUUUGUAUCCACUCUAUGAAUAUCCUUACAUUUCUUCCAUGAGUAUCUUUAUGCACCAAUUACUCUGUUUAAUGAACAAUAUCAUAGAUGACUUGCGCUAGAGGUGUGGCUUUAUCUUAGCUACCAAUGUUUUCUUUUAUUUGCCUUUUUACUGGUUGUUUGUGGCUUUAUUAGAUGUGAUAUUUAAUUGCUCAUUCAAUUUCUCUUUCAGAACAUCAGUAGUUAUUUUUAAUAGAUUUAAUUGUUAACAGGCUAUUUAAUACAACUUCAUCUUCUUUUCCAGUUUCACGCUUAGCUUCCGUUGAUACUUCAGCCAUUAUGCUAUGCACUUCAUUAAAUGUUUUGCUAGAUUUGGUAAAAUAUUACUGUAUUUACAGGAUUUCCUAACAGAUUUGAUUUUUGGAUCUUGGUUUUGCCUAUAAAUGGCAAGCAUCGUACCUUUGUUUGCAUGGUUGUAUUUAAGGUUGGUGUUCUAUAUUCCUUCUGCUUUCUUUUUCUGCCUUUCCUCUUGGUCAUUUGAUUAUUCCAUCUGAGAUGCUUACUGACUUCUUAUUCCUUAUUAUGCACUACUAUUAUUUUACUCUACUCUUCAUUUUGUCUCGUUGUGUGUUGUUUAGCUGGUAGUAAACUGUCUCAAGUUUUUUUUUUUUUAAAUUUUUCCUUGCUGUUUUGUUUCUUAUUACAAACAUAUUUAUUUGGAAGGAAGAGGAGUAGUGUCCUUACAUUGAACCCAUUAAAAGUUUUGUUUGACCAAGAAGAUGCAGGCAUUGGCAUUUUUUUUACUCAAAUUAACAAAAAUAAUACUGCUAUAAACAAAAUUAAAAUAGUAGUAAUAAGGAAGAAACCAUUAUCUAAUUAAUUUCAUAUAUGAUAUAUGCAAAAGCUAUAUGCUAUUUUUGUUUUAUGUUCUUGAUAUUUUUUUUUUAUCUCAUAUUAGAAAAUGUUUAUUAGAGUCCCUCUUAAGGCUAUUCUUCAACAUAUCUUCCAAAAUUUGGGUUUACUUGAUGUAUGCUAUCAUGUAAAACCAUCAUAGAAUGGUGUGCACAUAGUCAAAUUGAUCUUUCCACAUACGGAUGUAGAAAGGAAUAAGUUUAUCUCAAAGAGGGUAGGGGUUAGUUUUGUUAGUCUUUGAUGAUGCUAAACAUUAAGCCAUUGUUCAUGUUAUAGACUGUUUAAAGGUCCUCUAUAACUUUGAAUUGGAAGAUUAUAAUUUUAAGGACAUGAUUAUAUACCGAGAUGCUCAUGCAAAGUGUCUUGAUCAAAUGAAUGAGAAGGUUUAUAUUGAAGAGAAUGAGCUGCAGGCUUUGAGACAAGGUAUGAUGCUUUGCAAAAGAAGUUGUUGAAGAGGUCCUGCUGUUCACUUUCUGAUCAAGCAUAAUUUAGCCACAUUUUUAUUAUCAUUAGUGCUAUUUAAAUAUGUAUUUUUCUAGUUUAAUUUAUGUUUUUAUGAUAUUUUUUGCAGAAAAGGAGGAAAAUGGAAGCUUGGAGAAAAUCUGCAGAAAAAGCUGAAAAAUCGGUUUUGGUCAAAGUGAUUUGGCCAAAUCAGCUUCAAAAGAAUGACAAGGAAGCUGCGGAAAGAAGAAGCCAGAAUUCAAGUCUUGAUAUGCCCAAGUUGAUUUGCCCAGAUCGUUGGCCAAAUCACAGGAAAGGCAAAAACAGAUUGAAACCCAGAAGCAUCUCGCAGACACGAUUGGGGCGAGCGAUUUGCCCAAAUCACUGCCCCAAUCGACUGUUCCCAACAGGAAAAUCCAGAAGCAUGGGAAAUUGCAGAAAUUCAAAAUUCUAAAAGUUUAAGAGUUCUAUCCUACUUCAAAUGCCACAAGACCAAUCCUAUGACACCUCAGAAACCGCGCCAAAUGUAAUACCCGGCGAGAGUCCGGCGUCGGAAUUCUGCUUUCCGAUGGGGUCCGAGAUGUCGGACGUCUCUAGAAGAGUUAGAUUUAUGUUUUGCUAUACUGUUUUGAUAUGUUCAUUAAGUUUUAUGCAUAAGGAAAUGAGUUGUUGAGUGAAAUGAACCAAGGCAGAAAAGCCAGGUUCGGCCGCCGAAGUUGAGGUUCGGCCGCCGAACAUGCAUGGCUUUCGGUUUCACGUUUGGCCGCCGAAGGUGGUCUGGCCAGCCACCUAUAAAUGGCCCUCAGUCGGUUGAAGCGGUAAGAUCAUCGCUUCCUUUGUCGUCUGAGGUGAAACUCUGUCCUUUAUGAGUAGUUCGGCCGCCGAAGGUGCUUGAGUUUCGUCUCUGGAGAGGACUUUCGGCCGCCGAACCUGCCGCCGAAAGUGUUCUGACCAGCUUUCUUUUGAAUGCUUUGCAUGGAUGUUAGAGUGAGUGUAAGGGGAUUCUUGGGGGGUUUACUAGAGUUGGUCAUAAGCUAGUUUGGUCCCUCAUUUCAGUCUAUCUGGAUAGGUACAGACCAGAGGAACCAGAGAGAGCAACAGUGAGUCCUGCUCCAGAGUUUUCAGAGCCUGCAGAGUUAGUCGAGUUAGCCAGAGGUGAGUGGAACUAAACUUAACUCUUUUGCUUGCACAAUGAAAUGUUUUAGCAUAUCUCAUGCAUCAUGAUUGUACCGUAGGUUGAUUUCAUUAGUAUCCACGAAUAUGUUGCAUUGCAUCGGUAAUUGAUGAUCUGAGUAAAUGCUGAAUGAUCCAAUAGUCUCAGACAGGAAGUCCAGGAGCCUUUGACUACGCCCUGGCAAGUAUAGAGAAGUCCAGGAGCCUUUGACUAUGCCCUGGCAGGUAUAGCAAAGUCCAGGAGCCUUUGACUACGCCCUGGCAAUGGUAAGUACAGAGGUGUUAUAUACACAUAUACAUAUAUGACAGGAAGACCAGGUGCUCGAUUCUACGCCCUGGCACAGAGUUACUGGAACUAUGUGGUGACAGGUUUACUCUUGAUGUGGUUUGUCUGUGAUGUGAUGCAUUCCAUGAGAUCAUAUUGUACUGAGAUGUUUUACUGUUCUACUCACUGGGCUAUAGAGCUCAUCCCACUCCCUUAACCCUAGUUUUGCAGGUUCAGUGUACAGGGACAGUUCAGCAGAGUACAGGAAGAGUAAAGAGAUUUGUAAUAGCUUAGAGUGGACAUGUAAUAUUAAAGAAAUGUACGAGUUAUGUAUACAGUUAGACAUGUGCUUGACCUAGUGAUGUAUGUUUUAUACAUGAUCUGUGUAUGUAUAUGUUUUCCUGUAUAUGAAAACCAGGCUUAACAGGUAUGAGAUCACCUAUCUAGAGGAAGCUCUAGUCAGGGGUACAGAGUACAGAGUACAGAGUACAUGAGUACAGAGUACAGAGAUAGUGCAUGCACAGGUUAAGCCUUGGUACAGAGAAAAGAGUUUUUAUUUUCACAGAAAAUGUAUGAUCAUGUAUGAGAUUUACAGGUACACAGAAAGUAUAGCAGGCUUGCUACGGGUUCUGGUGGCCUUAAGCCGAUCUGAAUCCUAGCGUCGGUGACGGUCCAUUUUGGGGUCGUUACACCAAAGGUAGUCCUUCACCAAAGAAGAUCUAUUUAUGCUAAAAUACAAGAUAAAGA
rnacentral:lncRNA from 1 species